CUGAAAGUUACAUGAUUGUUAUUAUCGCUGGACAACAACCUAAGGAUUUGACUGUGUAAAGUGUUUAUAUUAUCCUGUGUUUGGCUCUCACUUAUUAUCAAGUGCCUUUCUGUACUGAUUACUUCUCAGAGCUACUGUUUAUAUGAUGUUGCUUUAUGUAACCUGUUUUUUAUGCAUGUGUAAUGUUUGAGGGCGGUGUAUAGGGUUAGAAGGAGUUGGAAUACAUAUUGUGAAAUGCUGGGGCAACAUAGGAGUUAAACGGUUGAUGGCAUGGGUAGCUGACGGUGAAUGUUUGGGGAUGAAGGAUAGAGGCUGAUAGUAAUUACGGAGUGAUAUGUUAUACAGAAGUUAUUAGUAUAUUGCAGUAAGGGAAGAGUAAAGGCAAAUUAGGUUUUGUUGGAAUAUUAAGCAAUGUUGAAUAUAGAAUAGUAGGAGAGGUUGGUUGCAUUUUGUGAGACAUAUCACGUUUAUUCGAUUUGUAUAUUGGUGUAUGUGGCGCUUGUAUGAUUCGCGAGAGCAUUGGAAGUAAUAAUGGGGCAUAUGGAUUGUUGUUUAUAUGGGUUUUACAAGCUUAGAUGUAGAAAAGAAUUGUUUUGCUAUGUGCAGCUUAUGGGCUGUUAAAUACUUAAUGUUCUCAACUGUCUUAUUUAAUGUCCAAAAUUGAGCAUCUCACAAAGGGAAGGUUUGCCCAGCCCCUGUGACCUCCACCCAAUUACCACUAUCUAUAGCCACGCCUACUCCUAACGUAACUUCCGCUCUUGCUAAGCCCUCACCUCGUGUCUCUUCCUUUACAACAUAUGUCAUGGCCAUCACUUCCUCCCCUGCCAUCACUUCCCUGCCAUUAUUUCCCUCCCCACCCCUGUCAUGGCUGCCUCCAUCAUGAGGCCUACCCCUGUUAUGCUCGUCCGAUUUGGUGACAUGCUGCUUUCCUUAAACUCUGCAUAUUAUGGAUAGUAAAUUGCAUGGACAGUAAAAUUAUAAUUACUAAAGCAAUCAUGCUAUUUGUUUCCCUAUUUCAGAAAUGUAUCAGAAAUAAUAUGUAAUAUAAUACAGUUACUUUAAAUCAUGGUAUAUAUAAAUAUGUGUAUAUUACAAAGAUGGUUAGACUUUGUAAAUAUCAGAAAUAUAACUGCAAAAUAUUGCUGCAAUGCCAUAUGCAGCUGCGGUCUGGCCUAUAAACGAUAUCUGUUAGAAAUAUGUAUAAGAGCAUACCAGUAGCUUCUCCAGAUGAAUGCCUAUUAAUGCCUGUAUCUUGCUGUAAGAUGUUAAAACUAAACGAUGCAGGUUCACUUAACAUCUACUGAACAAUUACUUAAAGAUUAAAUCUACGUAGUGGCCAGAUUAUCUGAUUUUAACCACGUAUAUUUACAUAAUUGUAUCAUGAUAGUUAAAAAUUGUGUAUUUACAGUAACAACUUUAAUGAAGAAUAGUGAUGCACUGAACGGUUCGCUGGUGAAUAGUUCCUGGCGAACAUAGCAUGUUCGCGUUCGCCACAGCGGGCGAACAUAUGCGCGGUUCGAUACGCCCCCUAUUCGUCAUCAUUGAGUAAACUUUGACCCUGUACCUCACAGUCAGCAGACACAUUCCAGCCAAUUAGCAGCACACCCUCCCUAGCAGACCCUCCCACCUACUGGACAGCAUCCAUUUUAGAUUCAUUCUCAAGCUGCAUGCUUAGUGAGAGGAGAGAAAGUGUAGCUGCUGUUGAUUAGAUAGGGAAAUGCAUAGCUAGGUUAGGGUAUACAGUGUCCACUACAGUCCUGAAGGACUCAUUUGAUCUCUGCUGUAAUGUAAUUGCAGUUGCCUGCAUGCCAGCUUCUGUGUCAGGCUCACAGUGGAUACUGUGCCCAGUGCCACCACUCACUCACUGGUGUCACAAUAGCUUGCAUUUAAAAACCAAAAACUUUUUUCACCGUUAUAGAUUGAAUAGCAGUUAGUUGUCUGCCACUGCUGCCAGCUUCUGUGUCAGGCUCACAGUGGAUACUGUGCCCAUUUGCCCAGUCAGUGCCACCACUCACUCACUGGUGUCACAAUAGCUUGCAUUUAAAAACAAAAAACUUUUUUCACUGUUAUAGAUUGAAUAGCAGAUAGUUGUCUCAAAGCGGGUGUGUCAGGCUCACAGUGGAUAUUGUGCCCAGUGCCACCACUCACUCACUGGUGUCACAAUAGCUUGCAUUUAAAACCAAAAAUCUUUUUUCACUGUUAUAGAUUGAAUAGCAGUUAGUUGUCUCAAAGCGGGUGUGUCAGCCCUACAGCGUGUACUCUGCCAACCUCUGCCAGUUCACAGUGCCACUCAUAUCUGGUGUCACAGUAGCUUGCACGCAUAGUACCACUAAUCUAAAAAAAUAUGACAGGCAGAGGCAGGCCACCCCUACACUGCACAUUGGGUAAACCUUCUGACGGCUGCCAAGCAUGGAAUGCGUGGCUCUGCAGAGGAGUUGGUGACACCGCCACAACUUGCAGGCAGGCCUGCUGCCACCUCCUCUACUCCUCCUACUCCAUCCUCUUCCAUAACCUCCUUGGCUGAGUCCUCUUCUGCUGCUGCGUCUUGCUCCACAUCAACGGAUAGGGGACGUAACAGGGAUUAAACUGAUAAGAAUAGUACUAAUUAACACACCACUCCUAUCUGGUGGCACAUUAGAUUGCACGCGCAGUGCCCCAAAUUUGAAGUAGGAGGACCGACCAAGCAUCUUUUUCCAUCUCCCGGUUCCUAAAAUCGAUGCCAUAUACACGUCCCCUGAUAGGGGACAUAACAGGGAUUAAACUGAUAGGAAUAAUACUACUUAACACACCUUAUAAUAACGCAGAGAGAGGAGUCUGAAGAAGAGGAGUCAGAGGAUGAAGGUGGCUUUGAGGAGGUGGAAGACCAAACACAGCAGGCGUCCCAGGGGGCUUGUUGUCACCUUUCGGGGACCCUUGGUGUUGUACGUGGCUGGGUGAAGGAAGAGACCUUCAAUGACAUCAGUGAGGACAAGGAACGGGACAUGGCUAGCUUGGUAUCCAACCUUGUGCAAAUGGGGAGUUUGCGGUUGUGCAAAUGGACUGUUUGCGGUGCGUUAAACGGGGAGUUUGGUCUGUCACUGUGAAGCGGGCGUAACCCUUACACUAAAAAUUAAAUAUCAGAUAAAAUCCAAUAAAUUUCCAGGAGUGGUAUUCCUUUAAAUUGGCAAUAGGUUAGACAGAUAAUGAGUAACUUCUAAAAGACAGUGAUAAUAUAGUCUAAUAAAAAUUGUGCAAAUGUAUACCUAUAACUGGUUGCCAUGUAAUAAUCAAAAAGCAAGAUGAUAUUUCCUAGGACUUUAUCACUUUUUGGCACGCAUCGCAAAGAAGACCGGGCUUCACUUGGAACGCAGGGAGAUCGGUGACACGCACGCGGCUAUCAACAGGUCCAUUUAUCUGCCGGCAGACCAAAAAGAUCAAGCUGCAAACGCCGGACUCUCCAGAUUCCAGUUUAGCACCAUAAAUUCUUUGCAACAUUGUAAGUGCAUAUUCUUUUUCUCUUUUAUUCGAUUUAAUAAAUGGAUUUUAAUGCACUCAGCACUUUGAAUUUCGAUUCACGUUCUGUGAAAAAAGGGAACUUAUCUACUAAACUACAGACCAUCAACUAUGAUCUGUUAGUUACUAUACUAAGUUAUAUACCAAGUACAUCUUAUCAUAAAUUAUACUGCAGAACUUGCCAACAUAUAUAAUUCUGUACUAUAUUAAUUCAGCUUAUUCAGCAAAACACUCCAGUUCUAUUAUAACUGGAAAUAGCUGUAACAGCUCACAUAUUACAGACUGUUGUGUCAUUCAAAAAGAGACUAUUGUAUCCAUAUAGAGACAUUUUUAUAUCGCCAAGUUAUACAUGUUUUCUACUUGAUUCAGAAAUAUCAUCUUGCUUUUUGAUUAUUACAUGGCAACCAGUUAAAGGUAUACAUUUGCACAAUUUUUAUUAGACUGUAUUAUCACUGUCUUUUAGAAGUUACUCAUUAUCUGUCUAACAUAUUGCCAAUUGAAAGGAAUACCACUCCUGGAAAUUUAUUGGAUUUUAUCUGAUAUUUCAUUUUUUAUUGCAUUUAAAGGGUCUUUUUAGUGGAGCCCUUCUUUCAAUUGAGGGUUUUUUCCUUUAGCCACAUUUUAUACUCUUAUAUUAAGGUCCAUAUUUGGACCUUAUUUUCCCGUAACCCUUACACUACCUGAUCGAUACAACAUCAUACAGUAGGUCCCCCCCCUCAUUAUUUUUAUGGCCCCCACCCACUGCUCACGGGUGGGGGCGGGCUGGAGGACAGUAGGUCCCCCCCAUUGAGAUUUAUGGCCCCCACCCACCGUGCAGGGGUGGGGGCCAGGGGGGAGGACAGUAGGUCCCCCCUUAUCCUUAUUUACUGAAUAUUCCCUGUAUAACAAUGUUUGGCAUUUAGUGAAUAUUCCCUAUUCUGCUCUGUGUCAGUGUGUAUCAUGAUCUCUGAGGACAGGUGUCAAUCCAUAUCUGCCAAGUGACCCUAUGUAGGAGGAACAGUCUCUAUUCUGCUCCGUGUCAGUGUGUAUCAGGGGCUCUGAGGACAGGUGUCAAUCCAUAUCUGCCAAGUGACCCUAUGUAGGAGGAACAGUCUCUAUUCUGCUCUGUGUCAGUGUGUAUCAUGAUCUCUGAGGACAGGUGCCAAUCCAUAUCUGCCAAGUGACCCUAUGUAGGGGGACCAGUCUCUAUUCUGCUCUGUGUCCGUGUGCAUCAGGGGCUCUGAGGACAGGUGUCAAUCCAUAUGUCAAGGUGUCAAUAUGUCAUAUGUCAGGUGUCAAUCCAUAUUGAUUGUGAUUUAGGAAUGUUAGGUGAUUUCUGCCUUUAUGGAUUAAAACCAGACUCUGUAUCAACUGUGUAAUUUUCCAUGGGAGUUUUGCCAUGGAUCCCCCUCCGGCAUGCCACAUUCCAGGUGUUAGUCCCCUUGAAACAACUUUUCCAUCACUAUUGUGGCCAGAAAGAGUCCCUGUGUGUUUUAAAAUUCGCCUGCCCAUUGAAGUCUAUGGCGGUUCGCCCAGUUCGCGAACAUUUGCGGAAGUUCGCGUUCGCCAUUUGCAAACCGAAAAUUUCGGGUUCGCGACAUCACUAAUGAUGAAUAAUGUUUUAACAUUGAAGCAAGUGUAAAAUGUUUUAUUAACUCAGACACUGCUGGUUAUUCGUUUAAAUCGCGUGGUGUGGUGUUAAAUUGAGUGGUGUGAUUGAGAUAAUCUUAUUAAUAUAAGUUAAGUACUUCAGCAGUUAAUGUUUUACUGAAAGACAGGCUGCAACUUUCCUUCUCUUACCUCAAAAACCUCUAUUUAUAAUUAUAAACAUGCCACAGCUGAGGUCAUUAAAUGGAAGGUAAAAGAGUAUUAUGGAUUUACCCUUCCAGGUGUUAUUCAUGUUAACUUUCAAAAAGUAUACUCAGUUCACCGAUUGCGAACAGGUGAAAAGGUAAGAAUCACUCCAGGUUGUGCAAAAAAUUUCUCUGACUUGGGAUUUAGUGUAUUACAUGGCACAUACCCAAAGGCUAUCUGCGGCCUUCAUAGUGGAGGAGAAUCCUACCUGACUCCUCUUUUUUAUCCAUUAUUGUUGUCUCCUACAUAGGUGUAGAUGGCACUCGCUAACUGCCUUGCUAACUGAGACCUGCUUUGUUGUUUCCUCUACCUGUCUAAUCAAUGUCCUAGGUGCAGAUGUCUUUCCACCGGUUGCAGGCCUCUAUCACCUUUGUGCCUGAUAGCCAGAUUCAAUGUCUGCACCACUCUCUGCUGCCGAUACGUCCGCUCUCUGCUCCACAUGGAGAAAACCUGGCCAGGAUGCAAAGGUCCUAGACAGUUCCCCCAAUGUCUUUGCCAGAAUUCUAAAGGUCCUGAAGAGUUUGGACAACUCCAUGUUUCUCUCCCCGUUCUAGUAAAGUUGCUCCCAGGGGCCAGCCUGCCCCUUAAGCCACAAUAUUCUCCGAAGCCUGCCCAAGCUCUUGCUAUUUUCAAACGGGGUGAAGUUCUGAUGUCAAAUGGUCCCCUGGUCCCCUGUGACGCUUUCUGCAAUACCCCACUGUUCCUUGUCAUGAAGAAUUCUGUGCAGGGUGAGCCAUUAACAUACAAGACUGUUAAUAAUCCUACUGUCCUGGAAACUCUCAUUGUGCUUAAUCCCCACAUGCUCCUGUCUCGCUCUACUACCUUGCUGCAUAAGGAUGCAAAGCCUCCAAAAGGAUGCUACCAUGGUGCCGGCCCUCAGUUGUCUUCUUGGGACAUUGUCUUUCCCAUGGCACCCGUCACCUCACCCAGGACAGAGUGUGGAGAAUCACAGCUAUUUGUACAAGCCCCCCCAUGUCUUUUUGAUCCUCAUUUACUACUGCAGAACCUGGAUACCUGAGGUCUUUACCUGAAUGAUGUCCUAAAGCCUGUACCUUUUAUUCAAAGACUGAACUUUUUCUCUGUCUCCUGAAGCCUUCUCCAGCUUCUGUGCCUUGCUAUGUACUAUCACCUUGGCCCCUGCCCUGGGCCUCCCCCACUACCAAACUGUUUGAGACUGUCAUGCUACUGGUGUUCUUACACAAUCUCAUGAUUCCCACCGGUCUCCAUCCAGUGUUUGCAGCACAGGCACUCCUGGAUAAGACAAAUAAUAAGACAAAUGACUAUACCACAAGCUUACAAUCCUUGCAUGAUUUUAUUGCCAUCCUUAAUCAAGUUCAACCGAAACAUCUCCGCCUGCAGCCCACUCUCCAAUCCUCUGUUCUGCUUCCAGAUAAUGUCAAGCUGCAGAGAUGCUACUCUUUCACUGCGGCCACUCUUCUGCCACUUCCCAGGGGGGAAAUGAUACAGCCUUGACAUGGACCCAGACGUUCUUCUUGAACUACAGAUACAGAAUCCCAUGGUUCCACAUGAUGAGCAGCCACAGCCUUUACAUUACACCCUAUGGUUCAGAAAUACCCCAGGACCAGAUCCACACUACGAAAAAACUAUUCAGCCUCAAGUGGACAGUGUGGUCCUGGUCCAGUCACCCAUGGAAGUAAAACACAUGUAUCAUCACUGGGAGAUGGCUGUCCCUAAUGUUUUCUUCACUAUGUCCCCAGAAAUCUCAUGGAAGGAAAUUGAUUCAUUAGCAAAAACAUGGAACACUACGAAUCAAGAUCAGCUCUCCACAAAGGGGGGCCACCAAGAGAACUGUUCAAGACAGUUAACUACCCUCAAUAUCACAGAGAAAUAAGUGAAGAUAGCCCUCCUACUGCUCCUCAUGAUUGCUUUGUACGGAUGUAAAUGAAGACAACACAUCUCCCAUCAGUGCAUGAAGUUGCUUUGCCAAACCCUGACUUCACCCUGUUUGUGGAUGGCUCUAGAUUGCGGACGAAAAGGGAAGGCACCGUACUGGAUUUGCUGUCACUAUAGAGGAUCAAGUACUUCAAGCAUCUUCACUUCCCUCAUCCAUGUCUGCUCAAGAAGCCGAAUUAACAACCCUCACUGUAGCAUGCAAAAUGUCUGAAGGAAAGCAUGCUAAUAUCUACACUGACUCAAGAUAUGCCCUUCAAUCUGGAAGACAAGAAGAUUCUCACAGCAACUGGCACGCCAGUUAAGCACAGCACGGCUAUCAAGAAACUGAUGGAUACCUUACUUCUCCUGAAGAAGUGGCCAUACUGAAGAUAAAGGCUCACGGAAGACUGAAUUCAGAAGAAGCAUGUGGUAGCUAUCUAGCUGACCAAGCCAACAAGUCGCAAGUGCACCAAAGGAAGUGGACAGAAGAGUGUCCGCUGAAGAAACUCCCAUAUUCACCAUGUAGGUCCUACCCACAGAUCUCAAGCUCCUGAUGUAACAACAAGCAGCUGCUGACCCUGAAGGAAUACAAGGUUGGAAACAGAAAGAUGCAACCCUUAAAGACAGGCUGUACCCCAACAAUCUCAAGUUCUGUUUACCCAAGGGCAUGUAUUCAGAAGUGGUCCAGUGGGCCCAUGGAGCAUCAUACCUGUCCAAGACCCUCAUGAACUCUUUGAUCAAUAAAUACUCUGAAGCACCUAGAAUUACCUGACCAACAGUUACUACAGAUGCUGAGCCAUCCGUGCCAAGGGCAACUCAGGUAGAAAAAUGGAGAAAAGCCCCAAGCAUCUAGCCAAACCUCACCAACCAUUCCAAGAAUCCAAGUUGACUACAUCCAGAUGCCAAAGAGUGGCCGAUUCAAAUAUACACUAGUUAUAAUAGCCAUGUGUAAUGGAUCACCUGGCACCCAGACUGGGUACCUCCGGUAAAGGAUGCUCCUAGCACUUCAUUUGUUUGCAACUAACACCGUCCAUUGACAUUCAUUGAAACUUCACUCUACAAAGCUCAAAUUUGAAGUGCAAUUUCUAAACUGCGACUGUGCCUUCAUUUUUAAUACUUCAGAGACAUACUAUGCAUCAAAAUGUAGGUCUGGGUCUUGUGAUUCUCACAAUAUAAAGCUCUUCGCUGUAGGAGUUAUAGUUUUUAAGAUACGACCGUUUGAAGAUGGCAACCACCAAAAUACUCUGACCUGUGUCAAGCUGCAGCAGCAAGUGAUGUCAUAGACAGGGCCUUUUGAACACCUGCUAAUGUUUUUAUAAAUGUAUGGUUUAAUGUAACUGUGCAACAACGUUGCAAUUAAAUGUGCUAUGUAAAUGAUAACAGUUACUCCGCCCACUCCAGUUGUAGACUACUGGUGGAGGCAAGAACACUUCACACAAUUUCCCCAGAAAUUUUAACUUUUCUAGUUAAGUGUUCUUGCAUAGCAAGACCACUUAAUGUUAUCUCACAUAUAUAUUAUUAUUAUUAAGUGUUCUUGCAUAGCAAGACCACUUAAUGUUAUCUCACAUAUAUAUUAUUAUUAUUAAGUGUUCUUGCAUAGCAAGACCACUUAAUGUUAUCUCACAUAUAUAUUAUUAUUAAGUGUUCUUGCAUAGCAAGACCACUUAAUGUUAUCUCACAUAUAUAUUAUUAUUAGUGUUCUUGCAUAGCAAGACCACUUAAUGUUAUCUCACAUAUAUAUUAUUAUUAAGUGUUCUUGCAUAGCAAGACCACUUAAUGUUAUCUCACAUAUAUAUUAUUAUUAUUAUUAUUAUUAUUAUAGCAAAAUUUGCCACCCUAACUCCUCCCACAGUUUUUACACUACAUAGACAAAAUUUACCAAAACGUGCAGAUUGUUCCCGAUCGGAUUGCUAUUACUUUGUGGAACGUUUCGCCGAAUGGUUCACGGAAUAUCGUCGUUCUUGUGGCGCAAUUUGUCCCAUAGGAAUGAAUGGCAAAGCUAGAGUGGGAGCUGCCAAAAGCUGAAAAAUCAGGACAUGAUUUCUAAACUGCCACCACUCCCUUAUUUUCAGGCCCACCUACACAAAUCUUAUAUCAAAAUGUUCAGCUAUCCCUGCUGCCACUAAACAUGUCAACGGCUAAGCCGUAGUCCUGAUAGUUUUCACAAUAUAAUCAUUUGUUUGCAACUAACGCCGUCCAUUGACUUUCAUUGAAACUUCACUCUGCAAAGCUCAAAUUUGAAGUGCAAUUUCUAAACUGCGACUGUGCCUUCAAUUUUAAUACUUCAGAGACAUACUAUGCAUCAAAAUGUAGGUCUGGGUCUUGUGAUUCUCACAAUAUAAAGCUCUUCACUGUAGGAGUUAUAGUUUUUAAGAUACGACCGUUUGAAGAUGGCAACCGCCAAAAUACUCUGACCUGUGUCAAGCUGCAGCAGCAAGUGAUGUCAUAGACAGGGCCUUUUGAACACCUGCUAAUGUUUUUAUAAAUGUAUGGUUUAAUGUAACUGUGCAACAACGUUGCAAUUAAAUGUGCUAUGUAAAUGAUAACAGUUACUCCGCCCACUCCAGUUGUAGACUACAGGUGGAGGCAAGAACACUUCACACAAUUUCCCCAGAAAUUGUAACUUUUCUAGUUAUUAUUAUUAUUAUUAUAGCAAAAUUUGCCACCCUAACUCCUCCCACAGUUUUUACACUACACAGACAAAAAUUUACCAAAACUUGCAGAUUGUUCCCGAUCGGAUUGCUAUUACUUUGUGGAACGUUUCGCCGAAUGGUUCACGGAAUAUCGUCGUUCUUGUGGCGAAAUUUGUCCCAUAGGAAUGAAUGGCAAAGCUAGAGUGGGAGCUGCCAAAAGCUGAAAAAUCAGGACAUGAUUUCUAAACUGCCACCACUCCCUUAUUUUCAGGCCCACCUACACAAAUCUUAUAUCAAAACGUUCAGCUAUCCCUGCUGCCACUAAACAUGUCAACGGCUAAGCCAUAGUCCUGAUAGUUUUCACAAUAUAAUCAUUUGUUUGCAACUAACGCCGUCCAUUGACAUUCAUUGAAACUUCACUCUGCAAAGCUCAAAUUUGAAGUGCAAUUUCUAAACUGCGACUGUGCCUUCAAUUUUAAUACUUCAGAGACAUACUAUGCAUCAAAAUGUAGGUCUGGGUCUUGUGAUUCUCACAAUAUAAAGCUCUUCACUGUAGGAGUUAUAGUUUUUAAGAUACGACCGUUUGAAGAUGGCAACCACCAAAAUACUCUGACCUGUGUCAAGCUGCAGCAGCAAGUGAUGUCAUAGACAGGGCCUUUUGAACACCUGCUAAUGUUUUUAUAAAUGUAUGGUUUAAUGUAACUGUGCAACAACGUUGCAAUUAAAUGUGCUAUGUAAAUGAUAACAGUUACUCCGCCCACUCCAGUUGUAGACUACAGGUGGAGGCAAGAACACUUCACACAAUUUCCCCAGAAAUUGUAGCUUUUCUAGUCCUAAUUGCUGUACAAAAUUAACCAAUACUAUAUUUAUGAGCGAAUGUCUCUAUCCUUUAAAAAAGCAAACCAAAUCUUUUUGUGCCAUUUGGCAGCAAUGGUUAAAAUACAUUAGCAGCUUAUCGGGAACAAUCUGCACGGGAACAAUCUGCACGUUUUCGUAAAUUUUGGUCUAUGUAGUGUAAAAACUGUGGGAGGAGUUAGGGUGGCAAAUUUGGCUAUAAUAAGAAUAAGAAUAAUAAUUAAGUGUUCUUGCAUAGCAAGACCACUUAUUGUUAUCUCACAUAUAUAUUAUUAUUCUUAUUAUAGCCAAAUUUGCCACCCUAACUCCUCCCACAGUUUUUACACUACAUAGACAAAAAUUUACCAAAACGUGCAGAUUGUUCCCGAUCGGAUUGCUAUUACUUUGUGGAACGUUUCGCCGAAUGGUUCACGGAAUAUCGUCGUUCUUGUGGCGAAAUUUGUCCCAUAGGAAUGAAUGGCAAAGCUAGAGUGGGAGCUGGCAAAAGCUGAAAAAUCAGGACAUGAUUUCUAAACUGCCACCACUCCCUCAUUUUCAGGCCCACCUACACAAAUCUUAUAUCAAAACGUUCAGCUAUCCCUGCUGCCACUAAACAUGUCAACGGCUAAGCCAUAGUCCUGAUAGUUUUCACAAUAUAAUCAUUUGUUUGCAACCAACGCCGUCCAUUGACAUUCAUUGAAACUUCACUCUGCAAAGCUCAAAUUUGAAGUGCAAUUUCUAAACUGCGACUGUGCCUUCAUUUUUAAUACUUCAGAGACAUACUAUGCAUCGAAAUGCAGGUCUGGGUCUUGUGAUUCUCACAAUAUAAAGCUCUUUGCUGUAGUAUAUAUAGUUUUUAAAAUAUGACCGUUUGAAGAUGGCAACCACCAAAAUACUCUGACCUGUCAAGGCUGCAGCAGCAAGUGAUGUCAUAGACAGGGCCUUUUGAACACCUGCUAAUGUUUUAUAAAUGUAUGGUUUAAUGUAACUGUGCAACAGCGCGUUUGCAAUUAAAUGUGCUACAUAAAUGAUAACAGUUACUCCACGGUUGUAGACUACUGGUGGAGCAGAACACUUCACACAAUUUCACCCAGUGUGGCUUUCUAGUUGAUAAGUGUUCUUGCAUAUAGGACCAUAAUGUUAUCUCCACAUAUAUAUUAUUAAGUGUUCUUGCCUUGCUUAAGACUCAUAAUGUUAUCUCACUAUAUAUAUUAUUAUUAUUAUUAUUAUUCUUAUUAUAGCAAAAUUUGCCACCCUAACUCCUCCCACAGUUUUUACACUACAUAGACCAAAAUUUACCAAAGCGUGCAGAUUGUUCCCGAUCGGAUUGCUAUUACUUUGUGGAACGUUUCGCCGAAUGGUUCACGGAAUAUCGUCGUUUUUGUGGCGCAAUUUGUCCCAUAGGAAUGAAUGGCAAAGCUAGAGUGGGAGCUACCAAAAGCUGAAAAAUCAGGACAUGAUUUCUAAACUGCCACCACUCCCUCAUUUUCAAGCCCACCUACGCAAAUCUUAUAUCAAAACGUUCAGCUAUCCCUGCUGCCACUAAACAUGUAAACAGCUAAGCCGUAGUCCUGAUAGUUUUCACAAUAUGACCAUUUGUUUGCAACCAACGCCGUCCAUUGACAUUCAUUGAAACUUCACUCUGCAAAGCUCAAAUUUCAAGUGCAAUUUCUAAACUGCGACUGUGCCUUCAUUUUUAAUACUUCAGAGACAUACUAUGCAUCAAAAUGUAGGUCUGGGUCUUGUGAUUCUCACAAUAUAAAGCUAUUCGCUGUAGGAUUUAUAGUUUUUAAAAUAUGACCGUUUGAAGAUGGCAACCACCGAAAUACUCUGACCUGUGUCAAGCUGCAGCAGCAAGUGAUGUCAUAGACAGGGCCUUUUGAACACCUGCUAAUGUUUUUAUAAAUGUAUGGUUUAAUGUAACUGUGCAACAACAUUGCAAUUAAAUGUGCUAUAUAAAUGAUAACAGUUACUCCGCCCACUCCAGUUGUAGACUACAGGUGGAAGCAAGAACACUUCACACAAUUUCUCCAGAAAUUGUAACUUUUCUAGUUAUUAUUAUUAUUAUAGCAAAAUUUGCCACCCUAACUCCUCCCACAGUUUUUACACUACAUAGACAAAAAUUUACCAAAACGUGCAGAUUGUUCCCGAUCGGAUUGCUAUUACUUUGUGGAACGUUUCGCCGAAUGGUUCACGGAAUAUCGUCGUUUUUGUGGCGCAAUUUGUCCCAUAGGAAUGAAUGGCAAAGCUAGAGUGGGAGCUGGCAAAAGCUGAAAAAUCAGGACAUGAUUUCUAAACUGCCACCACUCCCUUAUUUUCAGGCCCACCUACACAAAUCUUAUAUCAAAACGUUCAGCUAUCCCUCCUGCCACUAAACAUGUCAACGGCUAAGCCAUAGUCCUGAUAGUUUUCACAAUAUAAUCAUUUGUUUGCAACUAACGCCGUCCAUUGACUUUCAUUGAAACUUCACUCUGCAAAGCUCAAAUUUGAAGUGCAAUUUCUAAACUGCGACUAUGCCUUCAAUUUUAAUACUUCAGAGACAUAUUAUGCAUCAAAAUGUAGGUCUGGGUCUUGUGAUUCUCACAAUGUAAAGCUCUUCACUGUAGGAGUUAUAGUUUCUAAGAUACGACCGUUUGAAGAUGGCAACCGCCAAAAUACUCUGACCUGUGUCAAGCUGCAGCAGCAAGUGAUGUCAUAGACAGGGCCUUUUGAACACCUGCUAAUGUUUUUAUAAAUGUAUGGUUUAAUGUAACUGUGCAACAACGUUGCAAUUAAAUGUGCUAUGUAAAUGAUAACAGUUACUCCGCCCACUCCAGUUGUAGACUACAGGUGGAGGCAAGAACACUUCACACAAUUUCCCCGAAAUUGUAGCUUUUCUAGUUAUUAUUAUUAUUAUUCUUAUUAUAGCAAAAUUUGCCACCUAACUCCUCCUAGUUUUACACUACAUAGCAAAAUUUACCAAAGUGCAGAUUGUUUGAUCGGAUUGCUACUUUUGGAACGUUUACGAAUGGUUAGGAAUAUAAAUUCGUUCUUGUGGCAAAAUUUGUCCCAUAGGAAUGAAUGGCAAAGCUAGAGUGGGAGCUGGCAAAAGCUGAAAAAUCAGGACAUGAUUUCUAAACUGCCACCACUCCCUUAUUUUCAGGCCCACUUACACAAAUCUUAUAUCAAAACGUUCAGCUAUACCUCCUGCCACUAAACAUGUCAACGGCUAAGCCAUAGUCCUGAUAGUUUUCACAAUAUAAUCAUUUGUUUGCAACUAACGCCGUCCAUUGACUUUCAUUGAAACUUCACUCUGCAAAGCUCAAUUUUGAAGUGCAAUUUCUAAACUGCGACUGUGCCUUCAUUUUUAAUACUUCAGAGACAUACUAUGCAUCAAAAUGUAGGUCUGGGUCUUGUGAUUCUCACAAUAUAAAGCUCUUCGCUGUAGGAUUUAUAGUUUUUAAAAUAUGACCGUUUGAAGAUGGCAACCGCCAAAAUACUCUGAGCUGUCAAGGCUGCAGCAGCAAGUGAUGUCAUAGACAGGCCUUUUGAACACCUGCUAAUGUUUUAUAAAUGUAUGGUUUAAUGUAACUGUGCAACAACGUUGCAAUUGAAUGUGCACUACUGGUGGAGGCAAGAACACUUCACACAAUUUCCCCAGAAAUUGUAGCUUUUCUAGUUAUUAUUAUUAUUAUUAUAGCAAAAUUUGCCACCCUAACUCCUCCCACAGUUUUUACACUACAUAGACCAAAAUUUACCAAAACGUGCAGAUUGUUCCCAUCGGAUUGCUAUUACUUUGUGGAACGUUUCGCCGAAUGGUUCACGGAAUAUCGUCGUUCUUGUGGCGCAAUUUGUCCCAUAGGAAUGAAUGGCAAAGCUAGAGUGGGAGCUGGCAAAAGCUGAAAAAUCAGGACAUGAUUUCUAAACUGCCGCCACUCCCUCAUUUUCAGGCCCACCUACACAAAUCAUAUAUCAAAACGUUCAGCUAUCCCUGCUGCCACUAAACAUGUCAACGGCUAAGCCGUAGUCCUGAUAGUUUUCACAAUAUAAUCAUUUGUUAGCAACUAACACCGUCCAUUGACAUUCAUUGAAACUUCACUCUACAAAGCUCAAAUUUGAAGUGCAAUUUCUAAACUGCGACUGUGCCUUCAUUUUUAAUACUUCAGAGACAUACUAUGCAACAAAAUGUAGGUCAGGGUCUUGUGAUUCUCACAAUAUAAAGCUCUUCGCUGUAGGAUUUAUAGUUUUUAAAAUACGACCGUUUGAAGAUGGCAACCGCCAGAAUACUCUGACCUGUGUCAGGCUGCAGCAGCAAGUGAUGUCAUAGACAGGGCCUUUUGAACACCUGCUAAUGUUUUUAUAAAUGUAUGGUUUAAUGUAACUCUGCAACAACGUUGCAAUUAAAUGUGCUAUAUAAAUGAUAACAGUUACUCCGCCCACUCCAGUUGUAGACUACUGGUGGAGGCAAGAACACUUCACACAAUUUCCCCAGAAAUUGUAACUUUUCUAGUUUAAAGUAUAUGUUUCUAUGAACAGUUUUAUGGGCUGUUAAAUGCAUAAUGUUUUCAGCUGUCUUAUUUAUUUUGCCAGUUUUAUUUUCCAACUUUGAAUACUUAAGCAUAGCUUAGACACUGAUAAUGUUGUGUUUUAAUUUAAUUUUGAUUUUUAGUUCAGUAAUUUAUUUAAAGUUUAGUAUUUCAGUUUGAAAAGGAUAAUGCUUAUUUGGCUUAUUCAUCAGGUAUAGUACAGGUUUAGUGCUCUAGCUUGCAGCUGAGAUUAAAUGGCAUUUUAAUGCAUCUUUCGUCAAUCAAACAUUUCCUAGAUCUAGCUCUCCUGAUAACAGCACUACUUUUCUGGCAGAUGUAUCAUCGACUCUGUUCAAUGUUAUCAUUUUGACUGUUAUUUUCAUUGUAUUGGUUAUUUUAAUGGGAUUGUGGAAGUUGUUUAUUUGUAUAGAGAAUCAAUACACCUGGACUGUCAAUCCUCAAGGGGCUCAAAACUCUCCUAGUCAGUUUGCUAAGGUAAGGGCUUCAAUCCUGGACCUGAUGUGGUCCUUCUCCAAUAUGUGGAUGACCUCCUGUCUGCGUGAUUCAGAGGAUCUACUCUGUUCUCUUGCUGAACAAGGAUGCAAGGUGAGAGGAAUUUCUAUCCUCCCACAGCACACAAGCCCCUCCAUGCCUUUCUGGGUCUAAUCUCACUGCAGAGCCUGGAUACUAGAGGCCAUCCUCAUGCAACCUCCCUAUGAUGCCCUAAAGACAACCAUUUUCUCUGUCCCCUGAGGCAAGAUGUAGCUUCUUUACCUUACAACGUGCCAUUUUGCCAUUUCCACUGCCACUGCUCUAGGCCUUCCAGAAACCUUUCAAGUUGUUCAUGUCUGAAAGACAAGGUCAUGCCUCUGGAGUCCUCACACAGUCCCAUGGCUCCCGCCAAUGCCCCAUUGGCUACAACAUCUGUCAACUGGAUCCUGUGGCAAGAGGAGGCCCCUCCUGUCUUUGAGCUGUCUUUGCAGCUCAUGCUCUCCUGGACAAGACUAAUGAUUUGAUUCUUUGCCACAAACUCAGGCUGUAGCGUCUGUCUCCUUGCACCUCACGACAUAGCUGCCAUCCUCAGCCAAGUUUAGCCCAAGCACCUCUCAGCUGCUCGCCACCUUCGCUUACAAUGUUCUCUCCUGCUGCCAGACAAGGUCUCCCUGCAGAGGUGCUACUCCCUCAACCCGGUCACUCUUCUGCCACUUCCCAGGGGGCGGGGGGGGAGGAAAUGACACCCCGCCUUUCCCUCUUUUCACCCGAUGGUUCAGAAAUACUCCAGGACCCGAACCCUACUAUGAAGAAGACCUGUUCCAGUUGGUGGAGGUGCAGCUCACCAAAACAGAUCUGUUCCGUGAUCCUAAUGGCAAUUAUCUAGCCUUAGUCCACCUGCCUCCAGAGGUAGCUCAUACCACCACUGGGACUUAGCUGUCCCCUACAUCUCCUUCUCCAAGUCCCCACAGACCUCAUGGGAAGAACUUGGCCCAUUGGCCAAAUCUUGGAACACUGCAGAUCAGACCCAUCUUUCUGAAGAAGGUGUCACCAAGCGAAACCUGAAUUGCAAGACAACUGGCUAUCACAGAUUCCACACAGAAACAUGCACUGAAACCCCACCCACAGACCAAUAUCCAGAUGCACCUCAUGAUUGUUUGAACAGACGAAAAUGGAAACAACACACCUCCCAAAUGUGCAUGAGGCUGCCCUAUAUGAACCUGAACUCACCCAGUUUGUGGAUGACUCCAGAUAUGCUGAUGAAAAAGGAAGAUGCCAUACUGGAUUUGCUGUCACUACAGUGGAUAAAGUACUCCAAGAAUCCCUCAUCUAUGUCUGCUCAAGAAGCUGAGUUCCAAGCUCUCACCACAGCAUGCAAAAUCUCUGAAGGAAGACACGCCAAUAUCUACACUGCCACAAGAUAUCCACUAGGCGUGGCACAUGACUUCGGAUCAAUCUGGUAGACAAGAAGAUUUCUCACAGCAUGGAUGCCUUACUCCUUCCUGAAGAAGUGGCCAUACUGAAGGUAAAGGCUCAUGGAAGAUUGAAUUCAGAAGAAACACAAGGCAACUAUCUAGCUGAUCAAGCUGCCAAACAAGCUGCACGUGCACCAAGGGAAGUGGACAGAAAAGUGUCCGCUGAAGAAACUCUCAUUCAUUAUGCAGACCCUACCCACAGAUCUCAAGCUCCUGAAGAGACAACAAGCGGCUGCUGAUCCUGAAGAUAUGCGAAGCUGGAAACAGAAAGGGGCAACCCUUAGAGACGGGCUGUACUCCAACAAUCUCAAGUUCUGUUUACCCAAGAGCAUGUUGUGGCAAACCUAGCCACUUGGACAUUAUUUUGUACUGUCUCUUUAAGUGUUGCCGGUAUGGGGUUCCUAUUGUAUGUUAUAGCGUGUAAUGUAAUGCACUGUUAAUAAUGUAUUGCCCUUUAGGGACAUGGUUUUGGCAUGAUGGAUUUGUGUUGUGCUGCUGCUGGCCCUUUUAAGAACCAUCUGGGGACAUACUGUGGAGUUACUGGGUGGCCACCAUGUCCUGUAUCAGAAGCACAUGGUGAGAACAAUGGAUGGCGGCCAUUUUAACUCACAGACACUGUGUGGACUUUUCAACACGGUGCCAUCUCGCCAGUAUUUGUUGCACAGAGACAUCGUGCGGUGGUUUUGGACUAUACAGCAGGGGACACAUUAUACAGUGAUUGUUUUUUAUUUAGCCUGUAUAUGUUCUGCAGAAUCUGCAUUAAACUGUAUUUUCCAUAAAAGUACUGAACGGAUCUGGGUGAAUUUUGGCUAUGUGGUUCACCCAGAUCCCCCAGUUCCAAGGAUAUACUUUUUAUGGGGUUAUUGUAUGUUUUGGGGUCCCUGUGAUGUGUUUUAUGAAACCCAUUGUGUUCAGUAAUCAUAUCACAGCCAGAGGGGAGGAUUUUGUGUGGGAGUGUCUGGGUGUAUUGUAUGGAUUGAUUGGUUGUUUUGUAACGCCCUGUGGGCUGUACUAUGUUUGGAUUGGGAAUAAAAGAGACUGUAUGUGACAAUACAGGGAGUUCCUGUUUUAACCCUCAAAGUGAAGUGUCGUCUCAUUAUUGAGGGAAGGAUUUCUUGUAUGCUGUUCCAGUUUGACUGCUAGGAGAGUAAACCUAUUCGUAUGGUUCCUAUUCAACGGUCUACAGCAUUCAUAUGCUUGAGAGAAGGUAUACGCUUCUCUGGUUCGGUGAUUGUGGUGUCAGCUGCAGUGCUUGGAGUCCUCAGGAAGCGCUAGGAGCAUCUUUCAACUGAGGUACCCAGUCGGGGUGCCAGGCGAUCCAUUACACAUGUACUCACCAAUGGUCCACUGGGCCCAUGGAGCACAACACUUGAUCAAAAGAGUUCAUGGGGUUCUUGGACAACAAAUACUAUGAAGCACCUAGAAUUACCUCUCUGACCAACAGUUACUGCAGAUCCUGCAUCAUCUGUGCCAAAUGCAACCCAGGCAGGAUGGAGAAAGCCCCCACCCGAAGCAUCUGGCCAAACCUAAACCUCACUACCCCUUUCCAAAGAAUCCAAGUUGACCACAUCCAAAUGCCAAAGAGUGGCCGGUUUGAAUAUGCACUAGUUAUAGUGGAUAUGUUCUCAAGAUGGCCAGAGGCCUACCCAGUCACCAAUAGGAGGAGAGACCGCAUGCCAAGUAGUACACCGUGAAAGUUUCUGAGAUCACCCCGUGGAUUCACCACUGCAGAAUCAAGCCUGCCUCUGCUCCAUGGGAAGUAACGUUUGUUGAUCUUGACGACCCUUUGUAACUCCGUUUUAAGAAAAUAAAGAUACUUGUUGGAGAAAAUAUCAACAGGUAGGUGUUUUGAUGGCCAUAAUAAUGCCUAACCACCUGCCAUCGAUGGAAAGCCGAGGACCCCAAAAGGAGACCUUGUGAAGCCAAAGAGAAUCAGACGUACUCCUUACCCUGCAGCCCUCACGUCUGGAAGCUGAGGUUCCAACGCACUGCUGAAGCUUCUUCAGGAUUAUCUGCUCAUCUUGAGUUUGUGGUAAUAUUAAUAUUGAAUAAAUGAUCUGAGUCCACCUGUACUGAGAUAGCACGGUUAAGGAUUUAUACGAUAAAGAAUAAGUAAAUGUGCCCUGGAUAAGGUUAUUAUGCCCAUACACAUAAUAUCUGACAUACCACAUUCAUACUUCAGGACAAAAAGAAGCACCCUUGUACAAGGCAGUUUUGACCCACACAUAUAUAUUGAUGCCAUAGUGGUUCCAAGGGGGUGGGGGGGUACCAAAUUAAUUCAAGGUAAGAGACGAAGUUGCAGCAGGGUUUGAAUCUAUUCUCCCAAUUAUUACUGCUAAUAAGAAUUUGAAUUGUAUUAAUUAUAUCUAUUAUAAUCAACACCGUUUUGCUAAUUAUACCAGAGAUGCCCCUUAAGGAAAAAGGAUGGGUAUGUAAAAUACUCCCUGACACCAUGACAUGUACUUUCAUCCCAGAUAAUACAGGCCCAAAUGGCAAAGUAACCUUAGCAAUAGAGAAACCGGAGAGUCUCUCUGAAGAAUUAAAAAUUAAUUCUGGGGUCACUGAUCUGUGGGAAAGAUUGUUUGGAUGGGUGAAUAGUUGGCAAAAAGUUCUGGUCCAGAUAGGUGUGGCUGUCUUGAUAAUGUCGAUCAUCCUUGUUCUUAUUGUUUGGUGUGUUUUAUCUUGUAUUAAAAUGUGCCUACAGAAGACCGUUGAUCAGACCACCCCGACUUUCCUUCACCAAGAAAUAGAUGACGAGGACUAUGACAAGCCACAUUCUCCUUUGCAGUCCCUCCACACCAAUCACACAAUUACUUCCUUUUAGGGACGGUAGGGAUAGCGUCUGUCUUUACGGACAAAGUCUGUAGUGGAGGAGGUAGUGGGCAAGCCACUGCUUGUCCUAUGCGCAGCAUCAAAAGAGUUCGAGACCUGUAGGACAGAUGUGCUGCAGCCUGUUAGUGACUGAUUUAGAUUUUUAGAUUUUGUUUUGUAGUGGUUAGGAAAUAGUCAUUUUAAGGGGGGACUGUUGUGGACGUAAAUUAAUGUUAGUAAAAUUUAUUUUUACUUAGAAUUGCUGUUGGAGCAUCCCCUCCCAUCCUGUGUUCAUUAACUGCUCAAAAUGGCUGCUUGAACCACCCCCUCCCAUCGUGUAAAGAAUGUCAUCUGCUAAGAUGGCGUCUCCUCCAGAGAGCCUCACCUAGAAUGCUGGUGACAUCACACUUUGGAGGAAGGGCUUAACACUCGACCAAUUAAAGAUGUAUUCUCUCUGUUAUCUUGCUUUCUGAAUAUGAUGUAUUUCUGCCUUUAUAAGGGGCUCCCUGCCCCCUGAUUAAAGAUUCUGAAGUUUUUCAUUAACCUGAAACUUGGUGUCUCAGUGUGAUUUACUUCAGAGCGUGCAUGCUUCUAUUUUGAAUCAUUUGGACAGGAGCAGAUACUCAGAUAAACAAACACUUGGUUUGAUCCAAAACACAGGUAACCCUGUAAUAAUAAAGUUUCAUGAAAUAACAGAGGGAUGUUUACCAGAGGUAAAGUAACAUUGACUGUGCCAUUUUUGAGUUGUGUGUGGAUGAAGUCUGUGCAAAGCAGGAGGUCAGACCAAUAUUGCUAAUUAUGAGAAAUAAAAUCACAAAAACGUUUCUAAAGAAUGGUUAGCUGUCUCAUUUGUUUGAGGAUUGUCAGGGUAUUUAUAUCGGCAGACAUCUUGUGCUAUGAUAGAAAUUAAAAGUGUAUAUUAAAUACUGAGUUACUUUAAACAGAGCAGACACCAUUUUGUUAUUUUCAAGUUAACAAAAGACACAAGAUUUCUAUCUGUAAAACUAACCACUUUCCCAGAGCUAAAGGAAUGCAUAGUAUAUACAAACCAAGUGAGGGGGUUGGAUAGACUGUCUAAAAUGUUAAUGGAAUAGAUGCAUAUCUAAACACAGACAUUUGUGACAGAGGAGAUUAAAUAAUAAAAUUUUACUUUCUAUAUGUACAAGAUCCCAUUGCAAGUUUAAGGUGAAACUUAGUUCAUGAACAGCCAUAUUAAAAAUUAUAGCAGGAAUUGCGGACACUAAGUCUGGACAAAACUAAGAGAAAAUCAACAAGGGCAGCCAAUCAACAAGCGUUUGACUCGUGUGCCCUUAGAAACCAUCACAGCCAUGCCUACUAAUGGCAUGGUUGUCAGUGGCCAGUGCAGCAUGUGACCCAGCAUAUAUAUAUAUAUAAGCUGGAGUUGUGUAGCGCCGCACGCACAUGCGGUCUUAUUAGUGUAGGGAGAGGAUACUGCCGCUGUGAGGGACAGCUUAGGAAAGAAUUCAAACUAGUACAUUAGUGGGGUGGGGUGCACUUCAUAUCUGAGAGUCAAAUAAAAGCUUCAAAUACCGCGGUUAUAUCGGAGUUUUAAAAAGUAAACAUUUUUUGGUGCUAAAUAGUACAUUAGUGGGGUGCACUUCAUAUCUGAGAGUCAAAUAGAAGCGUCUAAUAGUGUGCUUAUAGCGCAGUUGUACAAAUUUUUAUUUUCUGGGUGCUAAUCUGCUAAAUAGUACAUUUGCGGACUGCACUUCAUAUCUGAGAGUCAAAUAGGAGAGUCUAAUAGUGUGCUUACAGCACAGUGGUAAAUUUUUUUAUUUUCUGGGUGCUAUACAGUAUUUCAGUGGGGUGCACUUCAUAUCUGAGAGUCAAAUAGAAGCGUCUAAUAGUGUGCUUAUAAGGCACGUGGCCCUGGUCCUGGUGCUUCUGUUGUUGGUGGAAUCCCUGUUGCAAGAAGAGGACGUGAUUGAUCUGUGCUAGCUACAUGCACAAGUUCCUCAUGUGCGAGUACAUGACAGAACUUUCAGCGUUAUUUGGUAGGCCCGAAUACCGUUCUAUGAAGGGUGAAGCCAGAACAAGUACAGGCGAUAGUAGAUUGGAUGGUUGACAGUGCCUCCAGUUCCUGCACAUUGUCUCCCACCCAGUGCCCUGCUGAAAGCUCAGAGUUGGCACAUGCAGCCCAUGGCCAUCUGUCUAUCACCUCACCCCCUUGCAAAUCACCCAAGCAGUCUGAGUUACAAGUCAUGCAGUAGUCUCCUAUGCUUUUUGAUGACUCUGCUGGUGGGUUUCCAUGGGCCAUCUACCUAGCCCUGCCCCAGAAGUGGAAGGGAUUGAGUGCACUGAUGCACAACCACUUACGUGUGAGGAUGUGGACAUGCAAAGACCACCACAGCACGUCUCUGAGGAAGACGAAACACAGUUGCCAACUGCUGUGGCUUUCGGCAGUGUGCAGACUGGCAAGGAGGGAUGGGUUGAGGAGUGGGUGGAGGAUGAUGAGGUCUUAGACCCCACAUGGAAUGAAGGUCAUGAGAGAGUGACCUGUGCAGUUUGGAGGAAGAGGCGGUGGUCACACAGAGGCACCAGCACAGCAUAAGCAGGAGUAGAGUGCAAAAGCGGAGCGGCCAUCCCCUAGACGGUACGCCUGUUACUGACCACCGCACACAGGGACCGAGAACACCAAAGCCAGCUCCAAGGAGUUCCCUGGCCUGGCAGUUCUUCACACAAUGUGCUGACGACAAGACACAAUUGGUUUGCACGCUGUGCAAUCAGAGCCUGAAGCGAGGCAUAAACGUUCUAAACCUGAGCACAACCUGCAUGACCAGGCAUCUUCAUGCAAAGCACGAGCUGCAGUGGAGUAAGCACAUCAAAAACCAAGAAAGGUCUCAGGCUCCUCCUGCUUCCUCUUCUGCUGCUGUCUCUGCCUCUUCCUCCACCUCUGGAGUGACAGUGGCACCUGCCACCCCACAAACAGAGGAUGUGGCAGCAACGUCACCACGUCCGCUACUGUCCCCAAGCAGCUCCACACUGUCCCAUGGAAGCGUUCAGCAGUCCAUCUCCCAAAAUUCGUGGCCUUUGAAAUGCUGUCAUUCCGUCUGGUGGAGACUGACAGUUUUAAAAACCUGAUGGCGGUGGCUGUCCCACAGUACGUGGAUUCCAGCCGAGCCAUCCCUUCCCUGUACAACCAAUUGGCGGACAAAAUCAGGUGUGCACUGCGCAACUCCAUCAGUGGCAAGGUCCACAUAAGCACAGAUACGUGGACCAGUAAGCAUGGGCAGGCAUGCUACAGUUGCAAGAAAAUGUAUAUAAACCAUUUGGAAUGAUAUGGAUUUCUGCACAAAUUGGUCAUAGAUGAUGAUCAGAUCACAUUUUAAGUCACAACAAUAGACAAUCCUGUAGUUGCAGAUCAGAAGUGCACAACAGUCAGGAGUAAUUCUUGACCAUUCCUCUUUACAGAACUGUUUCAGUUCAGCAAUAUUCUUGGGAUGUCUGGUGUGAAUCGCUUUCUUGAGGUCAUGCCACAGCAUCUCAAUCGGGUUGAGGUCAGGACUCUGACUGGGUCACUUCAGAAGGUGUAUUUUCUUCUGUUUAAGCCAUUCUGUUGUUGAUUUACUUCUAUGCUUUGGGUCAUUGUCCUGUUGCAACAGCCAUCUUCAGCUGGUAGACAGAUGGCCUUAAGUUCUCUUGCAAAUGUCUUGAUAAACUUGGGAAUUCAUUUUUCCUUCGAUGAUAGCAAUCCGUCCAGGCCAUGACGCAGCAAAGUAGCACCAAACCAUGAUGCCCCCACCACCAUACGUCACAGUUGGGAUGAGGUUUUGAUGUUGGUGUGCUGUGCCUCUUUUUCGCCACACAUAGUGUUGUGUGUUUCUUCCAAACAACUCAACUUUGGCUUCAUCAGUCCACAGAAUAUUUUGCCAGUACUGCUGUGGAAAAUCCAGGUGCUCUUGUGCAAACUGUAAACAUGCAGCAAUGUUUUGUUUGGACAGCAGUGGCUUUCUCUGUGGUAUCCUCCCAUGAAAUUGUCAAGGUAUUUAUAUCGGCAGACAUCUUGUGCUAUGAUAGAAAUUAAAAGUGUAUAUGCGGAGUCACUCUAAACAGAGCAGACUCCAUUUUGUUAUUUUCAAGUUAACAAAGAGACACAAAAUUUCUAUCCUAUCUGUAAAACUAACCACUUUCCCAGAGCUAAAGGAAUACAUAUUAUAUACAAACCAAGUGAUAAAGAGAACGGGGGUUGGACAGACUGUCUAAAUGUUAAUGGAAUAGAUGCAUUCUAAACCCAGACAUUUGUGACAGAGGAGAUUAAAUAAUAAAAUUUUACUUUCUAUAUGUACAAGGUCCCAUUGUAAGUUACGGGUCAAAACUCAGAAUUUGCCAGACACAUAGUCUGGACAAAACUUAAAGAAACUGUUUGAUCUGACAGAAAACUUAAGUUAUGGCCACGAUAAAGAUAAAGCCAAAAUGACGUCAAAAUAGCCACCAGGAAAAGUUAACUCUUUCCUGGAUAGGUAUGUUUAGUGGGACAAGACUGCCCUCUAUAGACCAAAUAACUAAAUUGCGAUCUGGAAGAUAACCACACCCCCAGUAUUGCUAUUGGUUUAGCAACUAGUGAAUUUUCCCUUUAAAAGUUAAGACAAAGACAAGGAGAGAAGGGUAUGCAAAGAAAGCAAAGAAGUGAGCAGUGGGGAGCAAUGACACUCUAGGACACUCAGAAAUUCCUACACACCUCCAUGCAGAGAGACAUCCAAACAAGUUCCUGAGACUAUCUACCAAUCGGAUGAAAUAUCUACUCAACUGGUAAUUAUACUGGUUUCAUUUAAUUAAUUAAAUUAAUUAAAAUGUACUAAUAUCAUGAUAUAUGACUGGAUAAAUCACAGUCAGAUUUCCAUAUUUAAGAAAUCUUAGUUAACUAAAGAAUAUAUAGUUAUAAACAUUCCAUUCUGCAGGUGAAAUUAAGAAUAAUUAUAUAUUGAUGUGAUAUUAUCACGUGUUAGCAUACCGCUGUUUUUAUCCAGGUGUAUUGAUUUGCUCUAAUAUAAGAUAAGAUACCUUUUUAGGCGCAUUAAAAAUCUGCUUAUAAAAUCAUGGUAGAUUCUCUUAUUGGAUGGUUCCAGGAAAUGACUAAUGAACUGGUUUAAAUGUUAUUUUAUUUAAAAUUACAUAAGAAUAGAUCUUAAUUACCUAGGAGAUCUAGCCAGCAUUGAAAGGGUUAUUUUAACUGAUAGCCAGGGUUUUAUGGCCCUUCACUGUGAAAAGCUUCACUUUCAGUCUGUAAGGAUACCCUCAUAAAUCGUGUAAGUCUUGACAGAAAAUGCUGUUUAGCCAUUGAACGUGUAUAGCCAUUCCUUUGUAUUGCAUAUCAUUUUAUACUGGAUAUUCAUUGAUUAUUGUCACGCAUGUUACAUAUUAUUAAUUAAUUGUUAUUAUAAAAUAAAAUCUAUUUUUUUAUAACAUGAAAUACAUUCCACUUAACACGAUAACGAUCUUUGGGAUCUGAGAAUUGAAUUAGUGGGCAAUUCUCACUGUUUACUAUUAUUAUCCCAUAAAUAUCCCCACAAAAUAUAUUCUUGUUUAGUGUUUUACAUAUUGUAGAUUCGCUAACAGGGAUCUUAGCAUUUGCCAGUGACUUUUGUAAGUCUUUAGCUGACACUCUAGGAUUCUUCUUCACCUCAUUGAGCAGUCUGCGCUGUGCUCUUGCAGUCAUCUUUACAGGACGGCCACUCUUAGGGAGAGUAGCAGCAUUUAUAGACAAUUUGUCUUACCGUGGACUGAUGAACAGCAAGGCUUUUGGAGGUACUUUUAUAACCCUUUCCAGCUUUAUGCAAGUCAACAAUUCUUAAUUGUAGAUCUUCUGAGAGUUUUUUUUGUGUGAGACAUCAUUCACAUCAGGCAAUGCUUCUUGUGAAAAGCAAACCCAGAACUGUAACCAACACCUCCAAUCUCAUCUCAUUGACUGGACUCCAGUUGGCUGACAUCUCCCUUCAAUUAGCUCUUGGAGAUGGCAUUAGUCUAGGGGUUCACAUACUUUUUCCACCUGCACUGUGAAUGUUUACAUGGUGUUCAAUAAAAACAUGGCAACAUUUCAUUCUUAGUUUAAGCAGACUGUGAUUGUCUAUUGUUGUGACUUAGAUGAUGAUCAGAUCACAUUUUAUGACCAAUUUGUGCAGAAAUCCAUAUCAUUCCAAAGGGUUCACAUACUUUUUCUUGCAACUGUAUAUGUCCCUCACUGCACACUGGGAAAACGUAGUGGCAGCUGGGCCUGAUGCAGAUAGCAGUUUGGCGCAUGUCCUUCUGCCGCUGAGGAUUGCAGGGCAUUUCUCUUUGCCUCCUGUUGCCUCCUCCUCCUACUCCGCUUCCUACUCCUCUACCACCACCUCAUCUGGGCAGUGUAACACCUUCACAACCAACUUCAGCACAGCCAGUGGGAAACGACAGCAGACUGUUUUAAAACUGAUAUGUUUGGGGGAAAAACCCCACAUCGCGCAGGAGCUGUGGAUGGGCAUGGAACAACAGACCGAUGAGUGGUUGUUGCCACUGAGCCUCAAGCCCAGCCUGGUGCUGUGCAAUAAUGGGUGAAGUCUCGUAGCAGCUCCGGGUAUAGCAGGUUUGCCGCACAUCCCUUGCCUGGCGCAUGUGCUGAAUUUGGUGGUGCCGAAAUUCCUUAAAAACUACCCAGAUAUAUCAGAGCUGCUGCAGAAAGUGCGGGCCAUCUGUGCGCGCUUUCGGCGUUCUCACCCUGCUGCUUGCCUGUCUGUGCUGCAGCGUAACUUUGGCCUUCCCGCUCACCGCCUCAUAUGCGACAUGCCCACAAGGUGGAACUCCACCUUGCACAUGCUGGAGAGCCUGUGCAAGCAGCAGCAGGCGAUAGUGGAGUUUCAGAUGCAGCAUGCACGGGUCAGUCACUCUGCGGUAGAGCACCACUUCACCACCAAUGAGUGGGCCUCCAUGCGAGACCUGUGUGCCAUUUUGCACUGUUUUGAGUACUCCACCAACAUGGCCGGUGCCGAUGACGCCGUUCUCAGCCUUACUAUCCCGCUUCUAUGUCUCUUUGAAAAAAAGCUGCAGGCGAUGAUGGAAGAGGAUGUGGCACAGGAGAAAGGAGGAGGGGUCAUUUCCAUGGUUAUCAGGCCAGUCAUUCACAAGUGGCUUGGAGGGUGGGUUCCUGCACCAGCAUAGGCCAGGUACACAAUUGUCCAGCCAGGGCACAUUUCUGGAGGAUGAGGAGUGUUCACAGCAGGGUGGCACCCAACGCAUAUCAUGGGCAUCACUGGAGCGUGGCUGGUGGGAUAUGGAGGACACAGACGAUACACCUCCAACAGAGGACAGCUUGUCCUUGCCUCUGUGCAGCCUGGCACACAUGAGCGACUACAUGCUGCAGUGCCUGCGCAACGACUGCCAUGUUGCCCACAUUCUAACUUGUGCUGUUUACUGGGUGGCCACCCUGCUGGAUCCACGUUACAAGGACAACGUGCCAUCCUUAAUUCCCUCACUGGAGCGUGAUCGGAAGAUGCGCGACUACAAGCGCACGCUGGUAGACGCGCUGCUAAGGGCAUUCCCAACUGACACCGGGGACUCAGUGGAAGCACAAGGCAAAGGCAGAGGAGGAGGAAGAGGUCGCCAACGUAGCUGGGGCAACGCCAGCACCUCAGAAGGCAGGGUUAGCAUGGCCGAAAUGUGGAAAAGCUUUGUCAGCACGCCACAACAACCAGCACCACCAUCUGACAUGGAACGUCUUAGCAGGAACAGUACAUGUGCACACGCCUACACGUACUGACUGAUGGGUCUGCCCUAUUCAACUUCUGGGUCUCCAAAUUUGGCACAUGGCCUGAGCUUGCCCUUUAUGCCUUGGAGGUGCUGGCCUGCCCUGCAGCCAGUGUAUUGUCUGAACGUGUGUUUAGCACGGCAGAGGGCGUUAUCACAGACAAGUGGAGCAGCCUGUCCACAGCCAACGUGGACAAGCUCACAUUUAUUAAAAUGAACCAGGCAUGGAUCACACCAGACUUGUCUGUAACUUGUGCAGAAUAGACAUUUAUAUGGCCUCACCCAGCCAUUGUUAUACUCCAGUGCACUUAUUCUUUGUUUUCUUUUUUUUAUAUAUGUCUCAAUAUUUUGGGGGCUACCCCAAUUAAAAAAAAAAAAAAAACAAUGUUGGCUACCUCCUCCUCCUCCACCGCUGCUUCCACCUACACCUCCACAGUCACCGCCUCCUCAACCUAUGGGUCACUUAGUAUAAACUAGGUACACAUUAGCAGAGGCUUGUAAAGGCCUUUUCUCCAUGCAUCAGGAGUUGAGCAUUUCUACAUGCAUCAGGACUGCAAGAAAUGCACCGCAGACCGCAAAUGUUUAUUUUGUUGUAUGUCCCAAUAUUUUGUGGGCUACCACAAUAAAAAAAAAAAAAAAAUGAAAAACAGUGUUGGCUACUUCAUCCUCCUCCUCCAGCGCCAUGGUCAACGCCUUCUCAACCUAUGGGUCACUUAGUAUAAACUAUGUAUACAUUAGCAGAGGUUUGUCGGACCCGAACAUCCAGGUGUCUGCUCAACUCUAGUCACGACUUAAAAAACUUCUCUUCUUUCUACUUGUGGAACAUAUAACUUGUCAUUAAAGUUUCCCAGCACAAGUUUGUGUGUGGGCUGCCUGUAUUUUCUCCAUAAAUGAAAAAGACAUGCUUAAUAAGAUAGUUGCUACAAUACAUUAUAUUACAAUUAAAAUGAGAGAAACAAUGAUCAUCUUGAUUGUCUAGAUUAUGAUCACUUAAGAUCAUUCCCCUAAAUGUCUCUACUCUUUAAUGCAAGAAUUAUGGGCACCAAUUCCCUGUUUCCAGUGUCAUAGUUGACUUCCACAGGAGAUCAUAUCUUGGAUAAAAGCCACAAGGUUGAAGAGUAGUAUCUUACAUAGUCACUGUCAUGUUCCUGAGCAGUUUAGGGAAUAAGAUCCAUGAACUUGUGGCAAUAAUGGCAACUGAUAGUGUAGAUUUAGUUGCUGUUACAUGGUAUAAUGAGAAAAAUGACUGGGACAUAGCAAUACCAGGGUACUCUUUAUAUAGAAAAGAUAUGGAAGGCAAGAAAGGGGGUGGGGUGGCCUUGUAUGUGAAAGAUAGCAUAAAAUCUAGCCUAAUAAAAGUUAGUGAGGCAAACAGACUCCGUUUGGGUUACGUUAGAAUUUGGUAAUCACACAGUAACUCGUGUAGGUGUGAGUUAUAGGCCCCCAGGACAAAUUGAAGAGUUAGAUAAUCUACUAGUUGAGGAAAUAGCUAAAAUGACAAUGAAGGGGGAAGUUAUCAUCAUGGGUGACUUUAAUAUUCCUGAUGUAAAUUGGAAAACAAAAACCGCUGCUUGUGCCAGGAGCACACAUAUUCUAAACUCCCUACUGGGAUUGUCUCUAAAACAAGUUGUUGAGGAGCCAACUCGUAAAGAGGCCAUACUAGAUUUAGUGUUAACAAAUGGAGAUUUGGUAUCAGUUAUUACUAUAGGUGAAAGUUUAGGAUCCAGUAAUCAUCAGUCAGUGUGGUUUAAAAUAAGAACAGUGACUGAGUCACACCACACAAAAAUAAAAGUUUUAGACUUUAGAAAAACAGACUUUUCUAAAAUUAGAAUAUGUGUAGAGGAGUCAUUAUCAGACUGGAGCAAUUUAAAUGGAGUCCAAGAGAAAUGGGAUUAUUUAAAAGUUGCCCUACUGAAGGCAACAGAAAAUUGCAUUAGGAUUGUCAGUAAAAUAAAAAUUUCAAGAAACCACUGUGGUACUCCGCAGAUGUGGCCAAAAUAAUUAAAAACAAAAAGUUAGCAUUUAGUAAUUAUAAAAAAAAACCCAGAGUGAGGAAGACAAAAUGUUCUAUAAGAUUAGGCAGAAAGAGGCUAAGCAAGUUAUAAGAGCUUCCAAAUCACACACAGAAGAGAAAAUAGCACAGUCAGUAAAAAAGGGAUACAAAACUUUUUUUAGAUACAUAAAUGAGAAAAGAAAACUAAAACAAGGAUUAGUUAGAUUAAAAACAAAAGAAGGAAGGUAUGUAGAAGAGGAUAAAGGUCUAGCUGACUGCCUCAAUGAAUAUUUUUGUUCUGUAUUUACAGAUGAAAAUGAAGGAAAGGGACCUCAGUUGAGAAAAAGGAUAAAUGAGUCAUUUAUUACACGUGAGUUUACAGAGGAAGAGGUUCUAUUUCAACUGUCAAAAGUAAAGACAAAUAAGUCAAUGGGACCUGAUGGAAUACACCCAAAGCUAUUAAAAGAGCUUAGUGGUGUACUAGCAAAACCAUUAACAGAUUUAUUUAACCAAUCAUUGUUAACAGGAUUAGUCCCAGAAGAUUGGAAGUUAGCGAAUGUUGUGCCCAUUUACAACAAAGGUAAUAGGGAGGAGUCGGGCAACUAUAGGCCAGUAAGCCUUACUUCAGUAGUGGGGAAAGUAAUGGAAACCAUGUUAAAGGAUAGGAUUGUUGAACAUCUAAAAACAUAUGGAUUUCAAGAUCAGAGAUAACCUGUGUUUACUUCAGGGAGAUCAUGCCAAAUUAAUCUUAUUGAUUUUUUUGAUUGGGUAACUAAAUUUUAGAUCAGGGUGGUGCAAUAGACAUUGCUUACCUAGUUUUCAGUAAGGCUUUUGACACUGUUGCACAUAGAAGGUUUAUCAAUAAACUGCAAUCUUUAAGUUUGGAUUCCAAUAUUGUUGAAUGGGUAAGGCAGUGGCUGAGUGACAGGCAACAGAGGGUUGUAGUUAAUGGAAUAUAUUCGAAGCUUGGACUUGUCACCAGUGGGGUACCUCAGGGAUCUGUACUUGGACCCAUUCUCUUUAAUAAUUUUAUUAGUGAUAUUGCAGAAGGUCUUGAUGGUAAGGUAUGUCUUUUUGCUGAUGAUACUAAGAUAUGUAACAGGGUUGAUGUUCCAGGAGGGAUAAGCCAAAUGGCAAAUGAUUUAGGUAAACUAGAAAAAUGGUCAGAAUUGUGGCAACUGACAUUUAAUGUGUAUAAGUGCAAGAUAUUGCAUCUUGGACGUAAAAACCCAAGGGCAGAGUACAGAAUAUUUGAUAGAGUCCUAACCUCAAAAUAUGAGGAAAGGGAUUUAGGGGUGAUUAUUUCUGAUGACUUAAAGGUAGGCAGACAAUGUAAUAGAGCAGCAGGAAAUGCUAGCAGAAUGCUUGGUUGUAUAGGGAGAGGUAUUAGCAGUAGAAAGAGGGAAGUGCUCAUGCAAUUGUACGGAACACUGGUGAGACCUCACUUGGAGUAUUGUACACAGUACUGGAGACCGUAUCUUCAGAAGGAUAUUGAUAACUUAGAGAGGGUUCAGAGAAGGGCUACUAAACUGGUUCAUUGAUUGUGGGAUAAAACUUACCAGGAAAGGUUCAAGGAUCUUAACAUGUAUAGCUUGGAGGAAAGACGAGACAGGGGGGAUAAUGAUAGAUACAUUUAAAUGCAUAAAGGGAAUCAACACAGUAAAGGAGGAGACUAUAUUUAAAAGAAGAAAAACUACCACAACAAGAGGACAGUCUUAAAUUAGAGGGACAAAAGGUUUAAAAAUAAUAUCAGGAAGUAUUACUUUACUGAGAGGGUAGUGGAUGCAUGGAAUAGCCUUCCAGCUGAAGUGGUUAACAAAGUAAAGGAGUUUAAGCAUGCGUAGGAUAGGCAUGAGGCUAUCUUAACUAUAAGAUAAGGCCAGGGACUAAUGAAAGUAUUUAGAAAAUUAGGCAUACUAGAUGGGCCGAAUGGUUCUUAUCUGCCGUCACAUUCUAUGUUUCUAUGUUUCUAUGAACAGGUCGAUCAGAGAGGAGACAAUUGCCAGAGUUAUUGGUUGAAACUUUGUCUUUUUAGACAUAACAAUUUACUUGAAAGAAAGAAUUAAGGCAAUAUGCCACAAAAAGGAUACUUUGAGAGUAAAACAGCAAUAUGCCACAAACAGAAUAUCUUGAAAGUAAAUGAAUAAAGUAUUUUAUAUACAAGUAGGUUUGACGUUAUUCCCAAAUAGAUUAGUAGUCUAUGGAAUGUCACACUGCAGCUAGGUUCAGGAUGAUACAGGGUUUAAAUGGUUAAAGCUGGUAAGUACUUUCAGUAUAAUAUAGUACAGGUUGCUUAACCCCUUAAGGACCAAACUUCUGGAAUAAAAGGGAAUCAUGACAUGUCACACAUGUCAUGUGUCCUUAAGGGGUUAAAGGAUUAUGCAGAGUUGCAGCAGUUGAUUAUACAGAUUAUACAGAUUUCAGUAUAAUGUAAUACAGGUUGCUUACAGGAUCUUGCAGAGUUGCAGUAGUUGAAGAUAAGAGUUUCAGGAGGAUUCCGGCGACGGGACACACAGAGUCUAAAUAGAGGAUCAGGAUGUUUUCAGGAGCCAGGAUCAGAAGAUCUAUGUCAGAACACUGACUUCAAUGUAUAGACCAUGUGAAAAGUUGGGUGUGGCCUUUUAUAGCAGACUUGGAAGAUCAUAUGAGGCAGGUGAGUGCAACUGAGGAUUGACUAGUGGCUAGAGAGGCCACUAGAGGAGAGAACAGGUAUUGCAGCAAUAAAAUAAAACAAUAUCUUGAUUGUCAGGAUAGGAUCCUGACAGUUACAAAGGCUGAAAAGAGACAUGUGUCCAUCAAGUUCAGCCUUCCUCACAUCUGUGUUUUGCUGUUGAUCCAAAAGAAGGCAAAGAAACAGUUUAAAGCACUUCCACAUUUACAACAAACUAGGGAUUCCUUCUUGACCCCAGAAUGGCAGUCAGAUUUAUCCUUGGAUCAAGAAGCUAUUACCCUACAGUUGAAAAAUCAUAUAAUUGAAUAUUAUAUUUACAGCCUUUGAUAAAACUACUUCUUCAGGUAGAGAAUUCCAUAUCCCUAUUGUUCUUACAGUAAAAAACAACAACUUUCAUUUACCUUAGACCAGUGGCGGCUCUAGACUUGGCGAGGCCUUAGGCGAAACUCAUACAUGAGUCAACUGUAUACAUCGUUGCAUUGUCUACCUGUGUGUGCCUGAGAGUGUGUGUCUGGCAAUGAGUAUCCUUGUAUAUGUAUGUAUGUUUCUCUGAGCAUGUGUAUGUUUGUGUACUGCCUGUGGUCUUUGGCACCAAGUUUAUGACAGCGUGUAUAAUGAUUGCCUUCAGGGGGUGACAGGGUGAGUAAAGGGGUAACUGUGGCAGGGUGAGUGUAAAAGAGCAGGAGGGUGUCAGAGUGUAUGGAGGGGGGUGCCAGAGUGUUGAGGGUUGACAGUGAGAAUGAAGGGAGGUGCCGAGUACGGAGAGUGGUGUCAGGGCACUCACGUGACCCGGCGUUAAAGCCACAAUAUCUAAUCACAGUGGGAGGUAUAGAUAUCUCCCACGUGUGAUUAUUAAUUCUGAUUGGAAGUUAUCCAAUCAGAAUUAAGCACAGCUGUUAUAUACUUACCUUUCCUGUCUCUGUAUUCCUGUCUUUCCUGUGUUGCAGUUUGUUCAUGUUGCUCUCUGGUUACCGUUUAUUUGGCUCGUUAUUCCGACUUUCCUGUAUUCUCCAUUCCUUUGACCUCGGCUUGUUUCUCGUUCUCGUGUUUUCUGGCUCCCUUUACUUGGCUUGUCUCCUAACUAUUCUUAGUGUGCUUAACCCGGCCAUUCUAAGGACCGGUAUAGCACCCUUCCUUCCUGUGACCUGUUAGCGUGUUAGGUUCCCGAAUCGUGACAUUACAACAGGGCCACCAUGGAACCUGCUGACAUUCCACAGCUGUUAGUAAAUCAGGAGGCUAGAAUGGAUCGUUUAGACCACCGUAUGGAUCAGUUUGCCCAGGCUUUACAAACCAUACUGUCUCGUACUGCCCACUUGCAACCUGCCGUUCAAGAAGCUGUUGCUGCUGUGCCAGAACCCAUUCCCGAUCCAGUACCCGUUCCUGCUCACGUGGUUCACAUGACGCCACCACAGUGCUAUAGUGGUGAUCCAGCAUUGUGUCGUGGUCAUUUGGUGAUGAAUCCUCGUUCCUACCCCACUGAUAGAACCAAAAUUUCUUUUUUAAUUAACCACUUGUCCGGGAAAGCUUUAACAUGGGCUAGUCCCAUGUGGGACAAUACGUCCCCGAUGUCCUUUGCAGACUUUUUGACAGCUUUCAAACGCACAUUUGAUCUACCCGGUAGGGCUGCUUCAGCUGGCAAGGCUCUGCUUAGGGUCCAACAAGGUAAUAGAUCAGUAGCGGAUUAUACUAUUGAAUUCCGCACUCUAGCAGCUGAAGUGGUUUGGAAUAACGACGCCCUCGUAACAGCCUUUCAGGAGGGUUUGGCCGCUUACAUACUAGAUGAAAUAGUGUCCAGGGAAUUGCCUGUUCUCUUGGAUGACGUAAUAGAUUAUAUCAUUCUCAUUGACAACCGUAUUAGAGAGAAGCGUAGUCAAAGUAGGAUGAAUACAUAGGUGCUACCUGCUUUACCCAGUACUGCAUUACCUCAACCAUCUCCCGAACCCAUGCAAUUGGGUGCUAUAGGGUUGACUGAAACUGAAAGAGCAUAUCGCAGGACAGAGGGGUUAUGCCUUUACUGUGGAAAGAGGGGGCAUCUCCGAAGAAACUGUCCUAAUUUGCAGGGAAACUUCAGCACCUAAGGCCUAGAGAGGGGUCGGCCUCGGGUGUUAUGACUUUUUCCCCUCAUGUCUCCAUCUCUAGACCAUUUAUUAAGGUUACUCUUUUGGUCAAUCAGACUACCAUAAAAACCAAAGCCUUGAUCGAUUCAGGCGCUGCAGACAACUUUAUGGAUGAGAACUUUGCUAAAACCGCAACCUUGACUCUGAUCCAAAAGGCCACACCCUUGGCCGUUGAGGCCAUAGAUGGUAGACCACUUGAUAAACCUCUGGUGACCCAUGAAACCCAAGAAAUGGUUAUGACUGUGGGUGCCUUACAUAAGGAAAGGUUAACCUUCCAAAUAAUUGACUCCCCUACAGCUUCCAUUGUUCUGGGUUUUCCCUGGUUAGUUAAACACAACCCAGUACUUGAUUGGGGUUGUUUGGAUAUACUCUCCUGGGGGAAUCUUGUCAACGAGACUGUAUGGCCCGUUUACUUUCUGUUUGUUUACUUAAUGUGCCAACAGCUAAACCACUUUCUGUUUCUGUCCCUUCUGUGUAUGCAGACCUCGCAUUGGUUUUUGAAAAAAGGGAGGCUGAUAAGCUACCUCCAUACCGGGAUUAUGACCGUGCCAUAAACCUGUUACCAGGUACUAUGCCCCCUAGGGGUAAGGUCUACCCGCUUUCUGAGAAAGAAAAUCAGGUCAUGAAGGAGUACAUAUACGGGAAUCCUUACGUAAAUGUUUUAUCAGAAGGCCCUCCUCUCCUGCUGGUGCUGGUUUCUUUUUUCGUUGCUAAGAAAGAGGGCGAUUUGAGGCCAUGUAUAGACUACAGGGGUCGGAAUAAUAUAACGGUUAAAAACGCUUCUCCUAUCCCUCUCAUCACUGAGUUGUUUGAUCGUGUUAAAGGUUCUAAAUAUUAUACUAAACUAGACCUCAGGGGGGCUUACAACCUGGUUUAAAAGAGAAUGAUGAAUGGAAAACAGCGUUCAAUACACGCAGUGGGCAUUAAGAGUAUCUAGUCAUGCCUUUUGGACUGUGUAAUGCUCCUGCUGUGUUUCAGGACCUCAUAAAUGAUGUUCUUAGAGAUUUACUGCAUAUCUGUGCCGUAGUUUACCUUGACAACAUACUUGUAUAUUCUCCUGAUUUGAAGUCACACCAUACUCAUGUGAGGAUGGUACUUAAGAGAUUGUUGCAGAACGUUCUUUAUUGCAAAUUAGAGAAAUGUUUAUUUGACCAAAAAUCAGUACAAUUCCUAGGGUAUGUCAUUUCUGAACAGGGAUUCAGCAUGGAUCCUUCUAAAUUAGAAGCCAUAUUGUCUUGGCCUCUUCCCCAAGGCCUUAAGGCAAUACAGUGAUUUAUAGGCUUUUCCAAUUAUUAUUGGAGGUUUAGUAAAAACUUUUCAUCCGUUAUUUCUCCAAUCACGAAACUGACUAAAAAAGGUUUGCAACCCAGGGUUUGGACUCCUGAAGCCGUUAAAGCCUUUGAGACUCUCAAAAAGGCAUUUGCCACUGCCCCUGUGCUACACCAUCCUGAUCCUUCCCUUCCCUUUGUUAUGGAAGUAGACGCUUCAGAAUCAGGUGUAGGAGCUGUGUUAUCACAAAGACAAUCGCAUACCGAACCCCUCCAUCCCUUUUCUAAAAGGCUGUCUGAUUCGGAAAAGAAUUACGACGUCGGGAACAGGAAACUAUUGGCUAUUGUGAUGGCUUUUAAAGAAUGGAGGUACUUAUUAGAAGGAGCUAGACACAAAAUCCUGGUUAUAACUGAUCAUAAGAAUCUCUCCUAUAUAGCAGAUGCUAAAAGGUUGUCCUCUCGUCAGGCCAGAUGGUCUUUAUUUCUUUCACUCUUUCAGUUCAUUAUCACAUAUAGGCCUGGAUACCGUAAUGUCAAGGCUGAUGCUAUCUCCAGACAGUACGAACCUUUGGAGUCGAUUGCCCCCGCUCCUGAAACCAUUGUACCUACAUCUAAGAUAAUAGCUGCUACCCGUUUGGUUAUUUCGUCUCUUUUCCUUGAUGGUAUCAAGACAUACCAAUCCCAAGCACCCUCUGAGGCACCUGUUGGUAGAUUAUACGUGAAAGAAAAAGACAGAAGAAGUUAUUAGCUUUAUUUCACACCGCCAAAACUGCUGGUCAUCCAGGGGUUACCAAAACAUACAAGGGGGUCUUCUUCAACAGUUUUGGUGGCCCUCACUUAAACAAGACGUGGUAGAUUAUGUGCAGGCUUGUCGUGUUUGCACACAGUGUAAAUCCCCUAACAUUAAACCCCCGGGACUCCUAAUGCCCCUUUCUGUACCCGAGAAACCAUGGACUUCAUUGUAGAUCUUCCUUCAUCUGAUGGACAGACAGUAAUUUUGACUGUGACUGAUAGGUUCUCUAAGAUGGCACACUUUAUUCCCCUUAAAAAACUACCUUCUGCGGUUCAGUUGGCUCGGGUAUUUGCCAAAGAGGUGUUCCGCUUGCAUGGUAUACCUCAGGAUAUCGUAUCCGAUAGGGGUCCUCAAUUUGUCAGUGGAGCUUUUGUGCUGAGAUGGAGAUCUCCUUGUCAUUUACUUCCUCCUAUCAUCCACAAUCCAAUGGAGCUAAUCAAUCUGUGGAGUUAUAUUUACGCUGCUUCACUAAUGCACACCAGGACAACUGGUCUCAUCUCCUUCCCUGGGCUGAAUUCGCCAGGAAUACUCAUUCGUCCACUGGCUUAAAUCCUUUUAUGGUUGCUUAUGGCUUCCAACCCUCUGUCCUUCCCGGUGUGUUCUACGACAAGGGAAUGCCCGCUUUGGACGAGCACCUUGCCUCCUUGCGGAAAAUGUGGGAUCAGGUCCAUGCUGCUCUCUCCCGUGCGGCUGCUACUCAGAAGAGAUUUGCUGACCGUUAUAGGUGUGCGGCUUCUUCUUAUGCCCCGGGUGAUAGGGUUUGGUUGUCCUCUAAGAAUCUCCGCCUCAGGGUUCCCUCGAUGAAAUUUGCGCCCCUGUUCCUUGGCCCCUAUAAGGUAUUGCGUAGGGUGAAUCCCGUGUCCUACUCUCUGGCCUUGCCUCCUUCCAUGCGUAUACCUAACACUUUUCACACCUUCCUUUUGAAGCUCUUGCUCUGUAAUCGAUUCUCUGGUCCUCUCCGGCGUCCGGAUUCCCUCCGCACGGUCUCCAGUGAUGUGUACGAAGUGGCUGCUCUGCUUGAUUCUCGUUUUUCUCGAGGUCGGUUGCAGUAUCUGGUGGAUUGGAAGGAUUACGGCCCUGAGGAGCGGUCUUGGGUUUCUGCCUCUGAUUUGAAUGUGCCCUCUUUGAUCCGCUCCUUUCAUGCGCGGUUUCCUUUGAAGCCUUUGGCAUCCCGCCUGCCGGUCCUCGAAGGGGGGGGGGAUAUGUCAGGGCGCGGUCUCCCCUUCCCCUACCUGUCGGCGAGCGACGUCCUCUCUGCGCUACACGCCGCUCGUGAUCUCCUCCUCGCCUCCCAGUGGCAGCAUGUGUAACACUGCACGCUGGGAGUCCCCGCAUAUUUGUAAACGCCAGGCGUUAAAGCCUCGGUAUCCUAAUCACAGUGGGAGGUAUAGAUAUCUCCCACAUGUGAUUAUUAAUUCUGAUUGGAAGUUAUCCAAUCAGAAUUAAGCACAGCUGUUUUAUACUUACCUUUCCUGUCUCUUAGUGCCCUGUUGUGGUCUUGUGUUACCUGUAUUGCAGUUUGCUCAUGAUGCUCUCUGGUUACCGUUUAUUUGGCUCGUUAUUCCGACUUUCCUGUAUUCUCCAUUCCUUUGACCUUGGCUUGUUUCUCGUUCUCGUGUUUUCUGGCUCCCUUUACUUGACUAUUCUUAGUGUGCUUAACCCGGCCAUUCUAACCUAAGCUUAGCUUUUCGGGUGUGUUUAAGCCCUGCGCGUUGUGGGAGAUCAUUGUAAUAGAGGCCAUUUGUGGCAGUUUGAAUUCGGUUGGUUAAGGCUGCUGUGGUGGAGAGUAUGUCAGGAGAUGUUCAGCUUUGUCCCUGAUGCUGAUAGGGUUGUCCCGGGAUGUGCAACUAAAACAAAAUAAUAGGUGUAACAAUUUCAAGUAUAACAAAUAACUAUGUACAACAAAUCGUUUCUUGUGUGUGUGAGGCGGUAUACCUUGGUGAAACUAUGUAGGCUGGUGUCGGCCCCUGUGGUGGUCCUGAUACCACAGAGGGUAAUGUGUUGUGUUUGUGACACCGCCUGUAGUGGAGGGGUGUGAAGUGUGUAAGAAAUGGUGUGUGGUUCGUGUUUCCAAGUGGUUUGCCCACUGUAAAACAUUAGUGGAAAGUGUGUUUAACCACUGAAUUGUGUGCAUUAGGGAUGCAGUUUUAAUAGGUUAUUGAUAUCCAGGUGUGUCGGCACUUAGUGCGUAUGUGGAAGAUUAAUAGUGGAGGUGUGAGAUGUUGUAACGGCAGGGGUCUCUGAGGGCCCAAAGGUUGAUGAUUGGUCCCAGGUUGUGUUUUUUUGUGUGUGUGUGUGUGUGUGUGUGUGUUUUGGUUAUGUUUUUAUCUUGAACUUGUGUAGUUGUGAAAGAGCUGUCCCGAUGCCCCUCCUCCCCUGUCCCUUCAUCUUCUAGAGUCUGGUGUCUUACAUAGCCAUAAUUUUUCCCCUAGGUUAGGUGCCUUAGCGUGUCAAGGAGAAGUACUUGAAAAUAUUAUCAUACAGUUAUCAGCAAUCUAGUAGCAAUCAUGUGUAAUACAGUUUAUAAAUAUUAAAUAAUAGAUACUUAUACGACCUGUGGAUGAUCCGACCUUCAGAGUUACUUAGAAAAUAAGAGAAGGGGGAAUACUAUCACCACUCCUCCAAAAGAUGUUUGGUCGGGGCUAUGUUUUGUGCGUUUUUGGGGUGAAAUUCCGCUGGGCGAUCUGGGUUUAUUGCGUUUUGGCCCGGAGCGGUGUGCAGACACGUCUGUUUUCUUUCAGUGCUUAGCUCCGCCAUUGGCAACUUUUUUAAACUAAAUGUUGCCAGGAUUUUCCAAAGAUACAUAAUUGCAAAAUUCUUCUAACAUCUCACAUCUCAAUACUGUUAUUGGCACUACGACAUUCACACAUAAAAAGUUGAUGCUCGGCCUUACAUAGUUUUAACAGAACAAAAAAUGCAUUUCUAACCAACGUAAAUCAAAGAGACUAAAGCAGGAAGGACAGUGACCUGGGAUGAAGGGGCAGUAACCUGGGACUGGAAGAUGUCCCAUCUGCACCAUACUUUUUGGAAGCACGAACAUGAACCUGAUACGCUAUAUGUUAGCUCCUUUUAAUUAUGUGGGGAUUGUAGGUCUGCAGUGACUGGUCAUAAUGGGUGAGGAGCCACACUACCGAAGCACCGAAACGUGCGUCGGGUUUCUUUUUCUUUCUGUCACUUAACUUUCACUGGGCACUCUAUUGACAUGUGCAGGCAACCAACAAUAAAGUAAGUACGCUUUAAUUUCUACUUUGUCACCUCCUUUACUGGUCUUGAACCUUGCUUUGUUUAAAUAUUUAAGGCUGAUACAGUGGCAGGAAGGGCUAUAGUGGCUCAUCCUUGAAUUUCAAUCUGCGACCAUAAGAUACACUAUAUCUAAGUUGCACUAUUUAUUCAACUGUAGCAGUUUUUUCUCUAGCUAUGUUGAGGCAUUUUGUAGCUGUGUUCUCAUAAGCCCGUCUUUUUUACCCACCGUAUUAGUCUAUCUGUACUCAGACUUAUUAGGUAGUGUCUCUUUGUUUUUGAGACCCUCUCAUUAAGCUACCGACAGUCCUUCAGAUAUAUAGUUAGCAUUUGGUCUCUUGACCAGUUCCCUAGGUACAUACAUAUGUCUUACUAUCCCAGGGACAUGACGUUUUAAUCUCUAUGCUCUAAGACAUUGACCUCAUGAGAUAUAAUUAAAGUCUGUAGCAUUAUAGAGAUAUAUUUAUAUACAUUUUCUGACUAGGGCAGUUGGAGGUGUGCCAUUAGGCAAGAUUGUUAUCCAUUGGAUUCUGACUAUUAGGAAUGGGUAUCUAUGUUGUACUGUCAUCAUUUCUUUAUUUAUCAAGUAUUUAACAUUACUAUGAGUUUUUCAUUCUUAAUUUAAUUCCAGUUUAUACUCUAAGCGACUGGAUAUUCUAUCCAGUGGUGGGAGUAUUUUUUUGAUUCUACGCACAGGGGUUAAGCCCGAGGACACCUCUGGAGUAUCCAAUUAGGUGUUUCUCUAUGAGUGUAGGUGGGAUCGUAUUUUGGACCACCACCACUUGUAGAUCUUUCACUUAGAAAAUAUCUAAAGGAGGUAUACAUAUGGAUAACUCACAAUAGUAGGCACAGUGGUCCAGAUUUCAAUAAGGUGAAUUUGAAGUGUUUCCCCAGGUUAUUGUUGUAAUGAGAUCAGUGCAAUAAGUAAUUUGCACUCAUUGUUUUAUAUUCAUUAUGACUGAUAAUGUUAAUCCAUAUUGCUAAUGUCUAUUUAGUAGAUUAUAAAGCCGUUUAAAAUUUAAUUUCAAUGUACUGUAACAUUUAUUCAAAUAGUUACUCAAGGAUUACUCCCAAUUUGUUAUAGUACGUUUAUUUCGAUGGCAUUUUAAAAUACAAGAUAUAAAGUUCAACUUGUGCGUUUUUAAUCAGUAUUCUUAAAUUAAAUGCAUUUCUGAAUAAUUAAGAAUGCUUUAACAUCGUGUUCAUAUACAUCACCUGUUCUUUAUACUACACAUCUAACAUAACAAAGAAUGAAUUGGGAAUGUAUUUACAAUUAGAAAAGAAGAGAAGGGGGAGAGGUAAUAGAAUGAAUACUAUCACCACUCCUCCAAAAGAAAAGGUUACAGGAGGUAUAGGGGCUUAACCCCGAAAUUAAUACAGAAUAGAGACAGCACAGAAUAGGGUAGGGGAUCCACUCACAACAAAUGGGUGGAAAACCUAGCCCACUCAGAAAUACCUCCUAGUGUAAAAGGGUCACAUUAAUGGGGUAAAUAACCUUUAUUAGAACGUACUAAACAUGUAUAAGGAUUGUGGAACUUGAACUCCCAAGUAUAUUCAAAACAGAUAAGUGGGUGCAUAUACAUUUAAGGAACAGAAAAAAACUAGUCAUAUCUAAUUAAUGCAGCUAAAUGCAAGAUGGAAAUGUAGAAAAGAUCAUCAAAAUAUGAAAUGGACACAAAGCUACACUGACUAAUUAAGUCACCUCAAAAGAUGCUUUAAAAAAUGCUUCAAAAUAGGGGAACUUGGAUAGAAAUAUUUAUAUCAAUCCAGUGGAUUUGGAAUUAGUAUGAAAAAUAAUGGCAGUGGCAGAUUCCGAAUAGGAGGUAAAGGCAUAAAUUUCACCCCAAAAAUGCAAAAAACAUAGCCCUGACCAACAUGGGGCGAAAGCUUAAGAAGCAGAAACCCGACAAACCCAGGCCGGGAAUAAACAUCGGGGAAAUGCUCCGUCAAGCCCAAAAUGGCGGCCAACAUCACCGACUACUCAGACUCCUCAGAUGACUUCUCGCUGAGUCUGAGCAACACUGCAACACCGGCCCCGGCUCACCCACAACCAGUCCCUCGGAGCACUGACGCCGGUGACAGAGGCAGCCCUGCGGGAGAUGCUCACUGACCUGAAGACAACGAUCCAGGCAGGCGUGGCCUCGCUCCAGGCAGAUCGCACAGGCCACGUGGGCAGGCUGGGGGCUGACACAGACUCCCAGAAGACCGCUGCCCUCACUCAAGAGGUCCUGGCCCUCAAGAAGCAACAGGCCACCAUGGACCUGCGCUUCACAGACCUUGAAGACAGGAGACGUAGCAAGAACCGCAAGCUAAGAGGAGUACCCGAGGACAUACCAGAGGCGGAAAUCCCGCAUUUCCUAUGGAGACUGAUGGCAUCCCUACUCACGCCACGACAGGCCAAGAACAUAGCCUUCACAGGAGUGUUCCGCAUACCCAAACCACGGAAGGCACCGACCGCUGCACCCAGGGACCUGGUGGUCCAAUUUCAAACCAUUAGAGAGAAAACGGCACACACACACACACACACCCUCCCUCUCCAGUCCAUUUCAAAAUUUGUAUUUGGAGGGAGAGUGGCACUGGGCACCUUUUGGAGCGAAUCCAUUAGACAUGUAUGUGUUUUGGAUCAACAGCAAAAAACAAAUGUGAGGUAGGCUGAACUUGAUGGACGCAAGUCUCUUUUCAGCUAUGUAACUAUAUUGGUUAAUUAAUAAUCAAAUGACAUAAAAUAGUAACUUCUUAUCAUGUAGCUAGCAAUAACAAUCUAAUAAGCAAAUUACAUUCUAAAUGUAAUGUUUAAAAUCUUCUACUCCCCGGUCAGUGUCGAGACUAACCUGAUAGUGGAAGCAAGCCAUCAUAUUUUAAUAAGACAUUAUUAUUGUUAACUUUUUGUCAAUUUCUUAUGUACUUAAUAACCAAUGCUGGGUUUUACAGGUACUAUGAUUGCAAGGUGGUGGUGGAAAGGAAGAUGUCGUUGCAGUCCGCUGUGGGAUUCAGUGAGUGGCAGACGUGGCUCAAAGACGGGUUCCUUUCAGAGGCUGUUCUCAGACUUGGUGCUGAUACGGAAGAGCCAGCUUUGCAGGAGGGAGCUGGUGAGUAAAAUAGUUAUAAGAGUAGAACAGCAGUAAAUUAGCCAGUUCUACAGAGAUCCAACAGAUCAAAUCUGAUUUGGUCAGAGCAUCCAUGAUCACUUCACUUCCUAGUUAGACACAUGCAAGAAAUAUGAAGGUGUCAAAUAUUUGCCAUUUUAAAUAAUUUUACUGCAGUAAUCCAGUGCUUGUAGAAAGAUUAUUAAUUAGUAAAGUUAUAUUGUGAAAUAAAUUCACUGUCUCUCUUAAGGCCUUAAACUGACAUAUUUAGCUAGACCAACCAUAUUUUUCUCUCCCUCUAACAGUGGAACAAUCCUGCCCUCCCCCUCAAAAAUGUACCAAAAGCUUCACAUCCUGGAUACUGUAUCCAUGGUUGACAGAAAUGUCCUCCAAACAGAUUUCUGUUAAUAUCCUGCAUCUUUCACCCCCCUCCUUUUUUCCUCUCACUCAAAGCUGUUAAAUCUGAUGUGUUAUUAUGAAUUUUGUUUUAGCCUCAGUAAUGCAUGCAACUUGGUCUUAAAAGCUUGCAAUCAGACUCUCAGUAAGUAAAAUUAAUUUCAUCAUUAUAAUGAUGACAUUGUUUUAAAGUUCACUAUAAUUCACUAUUAUAAAUGUGAACUUACCUUUUGCUUUACUUUUUUUUUCUUUUUUUCCAAGGUUCAUCAACCUCAUGUGGCGGGGGGUCGGCUCCAAGCACACCUCAGCCAAGUUCUGGUGACUACACAAACACUAACGAUAAAUAAUAAUGAACAGCGUUUAUUCAGCAUUAAAGGAACACUCCAUUGCCCCCCCAAAAAAUUAAAAUAUAGAAUAAAAUAAAAAAAUAAACAAAUAAAAAUCUCUGUUUAGACGAUUUACCCCCAAUGAAAACAUACAUGCAUUUAAUUUGUGCAUUUUUUCAUUGGGGCAAUAUCUAACAGCUUGCAGAACCAGCAGUUCUUGUCUGCCGUCUUUGCAAGCACUCCCCUUCUAUCCCCCGCCCAGGCUUUCUGUAGCUGUCCAAUCACAGACUUUCAAAUGCAGCUGAGUAUUCCUUGCAAGGCAGGUGCUCUGGGCUAUUGACUGCCUAUGGAGUUUAGCUCAGCUGAGCUAACCAAACCAGGAAGUAAACUGACCAGUUGUCUGCUUGAAAGCUAGGUGAUGUUACCAAGUUAAUUUAUUUAAAAGUGAUAAUUUCUAAUAAAAUCUGAACUUUUUAUAAAAUGAAGAAAAAAAAAAAGACACACUCAUACAUAAAGCAUUACUUAUAAUGCGUAACUAGUGCCAAGAGUACCCUGGCCCUCUUGCCAGGCACCUGUUAUGCUGUCAAAUCCUGCUUCACAGCAGAACAGCUUAUGCACAGCUGUUAUGCAAAUCCUGCUGGCUAUUCACUGGCUGAAAGCAUCAGAUUCAGCGAACCGUUCUCAGCCAAUUAAUGGCACCCAGUGCAAAGAAAGUUCACAUUAGCAAGCCAAUGGCACACCAGUGAACAGUGCCAGAGGUAGAGUUACACCUUUUGGGAGUAAAGGGCUUAAUCUCUGUAUGCGCAGCACUUCCCAGCGAGACGCUGCACAUGCAGACUCCAGACACCAUGACCACUUCAAAUCACUGUAGUUGUCAUGAUGGUUGGAUUAACCCUUUAACUAAUGCCAUUCUUGGUAAUCUAGCCAAUCAAUGCAGAAUUUGCUUAAAUCACUGAUAGAGGUGCUUUUUCACUUCACUCCCAAGGCUCCCUUUACCUCCAGUAGACAAUUAAAUAGCCAGAUUAGUCUAAGAUUUACUCACAAAAGGUCAAAUAUCUGCUGAAAUCCCAAAAUGGCAUUUAAAAAAUUAAUAUUGGAAUGCUGAUUACGAGGUUUAAACUUUACUAUCAAAAAUGCUAGAGACAUUUCCUUCAGAAUAAGUAACCUUAAGAGGCAGAGAGUGACAUCAGCAGACUGAAAAGUAGCGAUUUUUUGACAGCCGCAAAUCUUCGCAUGGUCGGUAACAAGUUCUGUAUAGCAUGAACACUAAAGCACCUAUUGCUAAGGUCGUCUCCCUGCCCGCCCCGGUACUCAUAGAGGAGCACUGGAGGCCUGAUGUGCAUGCGCAUAAAUUUCCCCCAUAGGAAAGCAUUGGUUCAAAUUAUUAUUAUUAUUAUUAUUAUUAUGCCACUGAAGGAGUGUUUAACAAUGCAGAUGGAAACAUUGCAGUUUCUCAAACUGAAAUGUUUUACAUUGCAUGGUUAAACCUACAGGACCAGACUUUCAUCUUAAAGAAGUGGUCUGUGUGACAAUAGUGUCCCUUUAUAACAUUCUAUUCCAAAACAUUUCCAAAAAUUGUGAGUGAAUUUGCAAGUAAAUUCAACAUCUGGGCCAAAACAGCUUAAAAAUAUUCUCAAAUUCUGCGCUUUUACCGUAUCAGCUACUUUAGUCUAGAUCUUGCAGUUCCCUUUCACAUUCACCCACCUUAAUGCCCUUUUUAAUUUUGAAUCAUAAAAAUUUACCUUUUUUUAAAUUUUAAUAAUUGGAUACCAAAAAAAAAACCAAAAAAAAAAAAAACAACAACCUGCAAACCUCUUAAUAAAAAAUAAAAUAAAACCUACACCCCCCCAUUAAUUAAAAAAAACCCAAAAACCUGCACAUCCCCCUACACAAAAAACACUCCACCAACUUCACAAAGUUCAUACAGCCAGGGCCGCCAUAAAGGUUGUCAUAGCCCUGACGGUCCUGGGGGGCCCGGACUACUCUGGCAGUCCGAGCCCCACAUUUCUUAUGUGCACAUACACACACAUAUAUAUAUAUAUAUAUAUAUAUAUAUAUAUAUAUUCUCUAUCUGUGCACUGAGGGUCCCCUGCUACCUGUAAAUUGCAGAGGGGGUCCCAGCAGCACACUCUCUUACUUCUUUUCCAGCUGCUCUCUGUCUAACUUUCCUGCGGCCGCCAGAGCGUUGCCACGGGUUACCAUGGCAACACUCCGCAAAGCACGCAGGCCGGUCUCAUGAGAGUUAGUCAGACGAGCUGGAAAGGAAGACAGUGCUGCUGGGCCCACUCUGCACUACACACGCUGCAUUCGCUACACACACACGCUACAUUCGCUACACACACUGCAUCUAAUGCAUGUACACAUUACACAAAACUUACAAUCUGCAUCCACUAUACACACUGCAUCUAUGACACACGUACCACAUCCACUACAUACAUUCUACAUCCACUAUACAUACACACACACACACACUUUAUCCUUGUGGGCGGACUCAGGGCUGGCCCUGGGGGCCCAGAUCUUGAGCUGUGUCAGGGGCCCUAAAAUUUCUGAUGGCAGCCCUGCAUACAGCCCCUACACAUAAAAAUUCUGCACCCCACCUACACAUCAAAUUCAUACACCCAACCUACACAUAAAACCCCUGCAUGCCCCCCUUAAUAAAAAAUCCUGCACACCCAUUAACUGCACACACCUCCUUAAUUAAAAACCCUGCACAACCCCCCCUUAAGUAAUAAAAAAGACAUGCACACCACCUUAAUUAAAAGAAAAGCCUGCACAUCCCCUUAAUAAAAAAAAUAAAAUAAAAAAAAAAACCUGCACCUCCCCAACCCUCCCUUCACAUAAAAUUAUAUUCUCUACUCACAUUUGAUAAUGCCUCUCCGCUGACCUGCUCUGCUCCGAGCCUCCGACCACUGGUGCUUCACAGGAUGAUGGAUCCUUCCGCUCCGUUAAGGUGGACAGGCUGCAGCAACACACGUCUGCGUGACUUCAGCGUCACACUGAGUGACGCUGCAAAACUCCUGCCACUGCUCCUCCAUAUUGCUGCAAUCAGUGCAGUAUAGUGUGGCCGCAAAUGCACCAUAUGAAUUGAUGGGGGGUGGUGACUUAUGACACUGCCAGUCAUUGCAUCCCCUAGUGAGUGGCACCCCGGGUGGGCAGCCUCCCCCACCCCCGUUAGUACGCCACUGGGGUUACUGUAUCUAUUUAACAGGUACAAUUUUUAUCUCCUAAAAGGACCCCUACAGGCACCCAGACCACUUCAGCUCAACGAAGUGGUCUGGGUGCCAGAUCACCCUAGUUUUAACCCUGCAGCUGAAAAUAUGGCAGUUUCAAAGAAACUAAUAUGUUUACACUGCAGGGUUAAUCCAGCCUCUAGUCGUUGUCUCCUCAUGGAGUCCAGUGUCAAAGAAGAUCCCCAUAGGAAAGCACUGAGUAAUGCUUUUCUAUAGGCGGGUUUGAAUGCGCCCGCUUCUCUGGCCGAGAAUGCGCAUUCAUCUCCACUUGGAAGCGGACACACAGCUCACGGAUACAUGUAAUAAGGUCUACAACAUGUCCACAAAUCCAUUUGCUUGCAUGUUACCAACAUUGCCUCUCUCUUCUAUUUCAGGUCAAAGGCAAUCUGUUGGGAGAGGCAAAGAGAACAGCUCGCUUCAUUAACCAGUCCUCCGGUCACAUUAGGAGAGUGUGAUUGAGGUGGCGCUGUCUUCUGCAGAAUUGAUUGCCUGAUCCCUGGAGGAGGACAUAAGCCCAGGGUCCAGCUUUAAGACUACCCACAGUGUAACUGCACAAGAGCCAUCCAUCACACCACUACCUGUCCAGCCACUGCCACCUCUCCAGACAUCACCUGGCCCAAGAGGAUCCAUGCUGCGGAUCACUUAAUGCGCAUGAUAUUUACAUGCUGGGCUGCACUGAUAACUUGGAAAAGUAAAGACUAUAUCUUGUUGGUAAAAAGGUAUAAAAGAUGGAGAAACUUGGCACUCACUUGGAAAACUACCCACCUGUAAUACGGACACGUAUUGCUGGUCUCUGCUGUUCCCAGAAGAGAGGGUCCCUCCAAGUCUGACUGCCUGAGUUCCCCCAGUCAUGUGCAGCAAGGAGACAACCAAGCCCCUCUAAUGGUAAUUUAUACUUAAGCAGAUAUAUCUAGAUACUAAGCUGUUUGAAGUGAAUGCAUGCAACAACUUAAAGAGUAAAGCUUACUGUAUUGAGUCCCUUUUGUGGACAAAAAAAGUGUGGCGUGAAUUCUUAAAUCCAACUUGGUCUCUGUGUGAUUUCUCUUUCCUAUAGUUCAAGAUACUCAUCCCGAACUGGGUUGUGUGCCCACCAAUAUCAUUAUAAACCUUAUUAGGUAUUGAUUAUUACUUUCUGCAUAUUGGUGUUCAUGAAUUUAAUGAUUAGGCACAACAUUUUGGCGCUGCAAGCAGGGUUGAGUAUUAGUUGAACAAGUAAAUUUGAAAUCAACAAUUUAAAAUAGUUUAACUAAGAAUAUUGUGUUAAAAUUUGUUAAGAAUCGUUUAAAAUAAGAAAAUUGUGUUUAGAAAUUGUUAAAACGGUUUAUGUAGAUUGUGAGUAAAAGUGAAACUAACAUUGUACGAGGUUUAGUUUCUGCUGCGUCACGAAGGGAAAAAAAGCAAUUUACAGGCUUAGUUUCUUUUGAGUGCUGCAGUAAAUAUACUAUAGAGAUUUGAAGAUUAGAUAACAAGCAUUACUGUUUCCAAAGAUUCUUUGAACAUUGUGUAAACUUGAAAAUAAUUGCAUGACGUUGCAAGAGCAAGAUUGAUGUGUGAAUGCUCAAUCUAACAAGAUUGAGGAGCAGUGGCGUACACACACGAUCCACGGGGCCCCGGUGCGAAAAUUGAUCCGUGGGCCACCCCCCCGCUUACUCUACGCGGGUCAUGGCCCCAACACAUGGCGGCGGGCACCUUGUCUGCAAUCGCGCUAUGUACGCCAUUGCAUGCAGAUACAAACACUUAAAGGACCACUAUAGGCACUCAGAUCACUUCAGCUCAAUGACGUGGUCUGGGUGCCAGGUUCCUCUAGUUUUAACCCUGCAGCUGAAAACAUAGUUUCAGAGAAUCCAGCCUCUAGUAGCUGUCUCACUGACAGCCGCUAGAGGCGCUUCCUCAAUUCUCACUGUGAAAAACACAGUGAGAAGACACUGGACGUCCAUAGGAAAGCAGUGAGUAAUGCUUUCUUAUGGGCGGUUUGAAUGCGCGUGCGGCUCUUGCCCCGAAUGCGCAUUCGGAGCUGAGAGGGGAGCGGAGAGAUCCCAAGAGAGCCUGGCGCUGGAGAAAGGUAAGUGUUGAAAGAGUUUUAACCACACACACUCUCACGAACAGACACAUACACACAUUUCCUGACAGACUCACACACCAAACAGACUCUUUAACAGACACACAAACUAACACGCUCAAUAACACACACUGACCCUCACUAGUAGACACUCAAUAACAGACACACACAAACACACUCAGUAACAGACACACUGUAGCGGAUGGCACUGGGCUGUCCUGCAAAUGUCAUGUGAAUAGUUGCAUUCGUGUAAACUGCUGGUUUUAUAUGUGUUUAAAAGAAAUGUAUUCCUCUGAUUGUUCGGUAGAAUCAUUUGAAUAAACUAAGGGAAUGAAACUACCGAACAAUCAGACCUCCCCUGUGUGAAGUGUGUCCUCAAUUACAAUUGACAAGUUAAGUAGCCGUCCUUUGUUCUCGGGGGUGGCCGCCAUUCGAAAAACGAACACGUGGCGGCGGCCAUUUUAAAACUCCCGAACAGCGGUGUUUUGACGUCGAGUGUCUGGAACUCAAAUCGGACACUCGACUAGGCGAACACCGCUGAAACCUCCACAAGCCCGGUCCGUUCGGUUCCUAUCUACCGAACGGCCCCUCGGGGAUUCAGGCGAACCCUCCCUAGCCUCUAUAGCUAGAGGUUUUCGUGCCAUUCAUUCCUUGACUCCAGGACCAACCGCAGGGCCCAUUCACAUGGAACCGCAUUCGGAUGCUUCACUCAGUGCGGUCGGUCAUUUUAUUCCCUCCAUAAGUUUCCCGAACACCUGGUCUGAUCUGGGUGAUUUUUGGAUAUGUUGUUCACCCAGAUCAGGGCUACCAGGGGAUGUAUGAUUUAAGGGGGUACCCCUACGUUUAGGGGUACAUCCAGAAAUGGGGGGAAUUGCUGUACUGGAUAAGGGGAUUAUGAUGCAGGCUGAGGGGAGGAGAUGUGUGGGAGGUUACCAGGACAGGAUUGGCUACUGUACUAAUGACUGUAAAUCCCUCCCUUGCAUGGGAGCAUGCUUUAAAAGGCC